AUUUUGAAUUUGAAGAUUUGGAACAGUCGAUGUCUGAGAUUGGGAACCUGCGCAACAGUUCGAGAUUGCUGCCGGAUUUUCAGAGAAGAGAUAUGGCUGAUAUGGCUGCAAUGCUGGCCAUGAAAAUGGCUACCAUGUUUGGGGUUGGCAGUGAUGGUGAAGUGGAAAGUAUCGGCGAGUAAAGGCUAUGAGUAUCUGUUGACCCUAGAAAUUACAAAGCCUACGUGGCGCGCAGGCCGAGUAUAUUCUAAGCUAACUACGUCCUUCGGUGAUUGCGGGGCGUGCCAACUCGUCGGCCGAGGUUCGGCCGAGGAAUAAAUUUGAUGAUGCUGUGUUGAGUCGCGCUACUGACUUUUGCGUCUUGCGAUUGCGGCCGAGAAAGGAACACGUCUCGGCCUCUUGGGUUCUCGAGCCUGAAGACAAGGCUGCUAUUUCUUACAAAGUUCACGAACCGAAUUCGGCUUGCAAUGUGCCGAAUAAUAACUGUGACACCUCACCUCGCCGAGAAGGCUAAUGAGAUGACCUCGACCAACAAGGAUCCGAAAACCCCUCUCGACCGAGACUUGGAUAGGUAACCGACCGUUCUCGCCGCAGUGCUGUUGAUGCCAACGGAAGAUACUGCGAGACCGACCGACUCUACGGUGACAGAGCUAUCUAUGCCGACUUAAGAUACCACCGGUUGCUUCCACAGUGCUGUUGAUGCCAACGGAAGAUGUGUCAGCGAAAAAGGAAAAGAAAAAGAUCUCAAGUUGUGAGAAUUUGCGCAGGGCAAUUUUGUAUUGAUUUUUGUGGGGGCCUCUUGAAUAAUGCACAGCCUCAUGUAUUUAUAAUACUAUUUACUGGCCAUGUUGAACUUUAUCCGUCGCGGCAUCCAAGCUAUCAAAAUAAUAUUCCUCAGAAUAUUUUCCUUCAACAACCCCACGGAUUGCUAUUCAAUUGUUAUCUUUUGCAUGCCCAAAAGAGACCAUAUCACUUGGAACUCUACUUCCCGUCAGACAGUAUCCUAAACAUCACCAACUCUUGCUUGGUCAAUCCUAAUCUUUCACCCAUCCACAUAUGCUUUAUCCACGCAUACAUGAUACUUAAAACAAAUGGUUAAUGGUUUUUGCUUUAUCUGCAAAAACUACCAUGAUCCUGUCACAUCACCUUGUUUUGGUUACUCCCCACAUCAUCUCAAUGUGCUGAUCAUCCCAUUACUUUGUGGAAUUGCUCCCCACGGUUCCGUAUACCAAAUAGAACUCCAAUGCUGCAUGGUAUUUUACAUAACCACAAUUAAUUCAAACUCUGUUGUUGUUGUUUUCAUUGGAGAUAAUGAAAAUCCCAUUUAUUCCUCCGUAUAAGAAAAGGAUAAAUAAUGAUUAUGAUAAAAAUCAUAAUAUUAUCCCUCUAUCUUCACUUUUCGAUCGACGGUGUAGAAACGUGCUUACUCAACGGCCUUGAUUACUCGGGCCGAUGGUGUAAAUUUGGGCUCAAACAUUGCCCCCCAAUUUCCUUGCACUUCGGCUCGUAAGCCGAAUGGUUAAGGAAAUUAGCGCAGUUGAAGAAAUAUAUAGUCGAAGAGAAUUGAGCAUCCACCGCCGCAUAAAAAAUCACUCGGCAGAAAGUUGUUCUAAAUACAACCUUGCCGAGGAAGAAAAGCAACCAUAUACCAGAUGAUUGGGUUCUAUGCCGAAUACCCAACAGACAGAGCAACAUGGAGAAUCAACAGCCUCGGCAUCAAUCUAUGACAGCACACAAUACACUAAAACACAUUUUCAUGCAAGCUAACUUUAUACAUACAUAUAUAUAUAUAUAUACAUAUAUAUAUAUAUAUAUAUAUACAUAUACAUAUAUAUAGUUGAGGUCAAAAGCACAUGCACGUGGUCUUAGUGUUCUUCUCAGUUGAGGCGCACAAAACCCAAAAAGAAAAACCAAAUCAACUAGGCAAUACCUUGACAAGCCGUCCUUGGCCAACUUCUUUUAUAUAUCUCGGCCAACUUUUUUUUAUUUUUUUUUUAUUCGGCUUUUAUUCGGCCUCGGUCUAGACGGUCGAAAUGCUCCUUUUUUCCAGUUUGUGCAUCAAAAAUUAUUCCUACUUUUUCUCUCUUCUGCACCGAGUAUCAAAUUUAACCGAGUAUCUGUGUAGCCCCCCUUAUUUUCUUAUGCAUCGGCUUAAUUAGCCAGAUGAUUAAGAAAAUAAUUUAUUCUCUUUUUUUUUUUUUUAAAAAAAAACAGAAGAAAACGAAAGUGGCCGAUCAAUAGUAAGGAGGAGGCCAACGAUGCUUUACUCCAAGCCGAGAUCUUUUAAUAUCAAAAUUCUCAAAUUGAUUUUGCUCUAGGCCGAAUAAAGAAUUUUCUCCAAAUAUUUUUGACUUGGUGAAAUAUUUUUCAUUCUCGGCCGCCGAAUGUGUUAAACAAUUAUUAUGCCCCCCAGGCAUAAUUUCGGCUUUUAAUUCAAACAACUUAGCCGAACAGGAUUUCUCCAUAUCGGCUUUAUUGCCAAUAAUCAUAUCAAUUGGCGUAGUUUCUUGGGCUAGGCCAAUAUCUUGGCCUUGUUCGUCAUUGGAGCAUUCCUCUGACGAAUCAUUUUCCAAGUCAAUUUUUGUAUCUAGCUCAAGAACUUGAAUUUUUUCUUCUAGGCCUACCACACUUUCAGUCUCGACCGAAAAAAUAGGUGGCUUUUGUUCUUCGGCCAAAUUAACAAUUUUCUUAGGCUGAUGUCUGAUUACGGCCGGAGCGAAAAAUUGCCCCCCGGCCUUUAGGCCUAACCAUUUUUCAAAUGGAAUAGAUUUGUAAUCAGAAACGUAAGGAAAAUUUUCUUCAUCUAGCCAGGCAUUAAAUCGAGCCCUGUCUUCAUUUAUCCAUUGCCCUUGUAGGAUAACAGGAGCUUUUAUUUUCAACAUGCAAGCGAAUGACUUUUGCAUCUCUUUAUGGCCACGAAGAACUUUUUAUGCUUCCAAAGAUUUUUUUUGUUCCUCAUUGUAUUUUUUCAAUUCCUCUAGGAGCUCGUGCAAUCGGCUAAAUGGAGCCAGAUUGACAUUUUGAUCUAUCAUGUGAACUUCGUAGUUUUAGCACUGGGUCCCACUGGGCGUGCCAAAAUGUUGACCCUAGAAAUUACAAAGCCUACGUGGCGCGCAGGCCGAGUAUAUUCUAAGCUAACUACGUCCUUCGGUGAUUGCGGGGCGUGCCAACUCGUCGGCCGAGGUUCGGCCGAGGAAUAAAUUUGAUGAUGCUGUGUUGAGUCGCGCUACUGACUUUUGCGUCUUGCGAUUGCGGCCGAGAAAGGAACACGUCUCGGCCUCUUGGGUUCUCGAGCCUGAAGACAAGGCUGCUAUUUCUUACAAAGUUCACGAACCGAAUUCGGCUUGCAAUGUGCCGAAUAAUAACUGUGACACCUCACCUCGCCGAGAAAGCUAAUGAGAUGACCUCGACCAACAAGGAUCCGAAAACCCCUCUCGACCGAGACUUGGAUAGGUAACCGACCGUUCUCGCCGCAGUGCUGUUGAUGCCAACGGAAGAUACUGCGAGACCGACCGACUCUACGGUGACAGAGCUAUCUAUGCCGACUUAAGAUACCACCGGUUGCUUCCACAGUGCUGUUGAUGCCAACGGAAGAUGUGUCAGCGAAAAAGGAAAAGAAAAAGAUCUCAAGUUGUGAGAAUUUGCGCAGGGCAAUUUUGUAUUGAUUUUUUGUGGGGCCUCUUGAAUAAUGCACAGCCUCAUGUAUUUAUAAUACUAUUUACUGGCCAUGUUGAACUUUAUCCGUCGCGGCAUCCAAGCUAUCAAAAUAAUAUUCCUCAGAAUAUUUUCCUUCAACAACCCCACGGAUUGCUAUUCAAUUGUUAUCUUUUGCAUGCCCAAAAGAGACCAUAUCACUUGGAACUCUACUUCCCGUCAGACAGUAUCCUAAACAUCACCAACUCUUGCUUGGUCAAAUCCUAAUCUUUCACCCAUCCACAUAUGCUUUAUCCACGCAUACAUGAUACUUAAAACAAAUGGUUAAUGGUUUUUGCUUUAUCUGCAAAAACCACCAUGAUCCUGUCACAUCACCUUGUUUUGGUUACUCCCCACAUCAUCUCAAUGUGCUGAUCAUCCCAUUACUUUGUGGAAUUGCUCCCCACGGUUCCGUAUACCAAAUAGAACUCCAAUGCUGCAUGGUAUUUUACAUAACCACAAUUAAUUCAAACUCUGUUGUUGUUGUUUUCAUUGGAGAUAAUGAAAAUCCCAUUUAUUCCUCCGUAUAAGAAAAGGAUAAAUAAUGAUUAUGAUAAAAAUCAUAAUAUUAUCCCUCUAUCUUCACUUUUCGAUCGACGGUGUAGAAACGUGCUUACUCAACGACCUUGAUUACUCGGGCCGAUGGUGUAAAUUUGGGCUCAAACAGUAUCUAAGAGAGAUGUGAGUGUUACACAUCCCUGAAUCCCCUUGGACUUUUUUCCACAACGUGGCAAGGAAAGGAGAAUCGGCAGUCUUCUUUUCUCUUUUACUGUAUAAGUAGGUUCAGAAUAGUCGAUACCAAUUAACCGUGCCCAAACCGAGUUUGUAAGAAACUUGUGCUUUUAAUGAAACAAUGGAAAUGUUGGGAUUGCAUUCGAAAAUCGAAGGGAUGAAUCGAUUCCUGUAUGAGCGCAAUUAGUGAUGAUGUUUCUCAACUUCGAUAUGAAAACCAACGUACAAAUUACAAAUUUCCUCCAAUGAUGGAUGCAAAUCAAUCUUAGUUGAUGAAUCGAUUUUAUACUAUAUAUUACUCCCUAUUCUUGGUAUAUUUUGGUUAUUAUUUUGGUGAGAUUUUGAUGCUUUGUUAUGUGUUUUUAAUGUAGGACAUGCGAACUUGUUAUGAGCAUAAAGUAAUCAAACAGUGGAUUUUUUGAGUGAUUCCAAUUGGAGCGGGUUUAUGAAUCUGUCAAGAAGGCUGUAUCAAAAUUUCAUAAUUUUAUCCCCAAGCAUUUGAUUGUGGCGAAUUAAUUUAUACCCAACGCGCAGUGUUGGCAUAUGGGGCUGCAGAGCUUAUUUGCGACUCCUGGGUUGGAAGAUGAUGGAUUUUGGACUUGGACUUGGACUUUUCUUGAAACUUGAAGAGGAGGUCCUUUAAUUCAAGUCGAUUUGGGCUUGUUUUGGAGCCCUAAAGGUCCAAAAACGUGGUUAUCUCUUUGCUGGGCAGAUUUCGUAGUUAGAAUAGGAAUGCAAUUCCUAGUUAUCCUUUUAUUAUUUUAUUUCCUAGUUUUUAGAAACCUUUUCUAUGAGGGUUUAAAUUGGGAGUAGUAUAAAUAAGGAUUUUUUAGCCAUUAGGGUUCUGGGGGGAGAAUGUAUGCAUUAUUUUGUAGAACUUCAAACUUUUUACCUACAAGGUGUUUUCAUUCUUUUUUCUAGUUAAUAUAUUUUAUUUAUUUUUUAUUAUGAUUGUUCGUAACUAGCUCUUUUGCUAGGGCGAAGCCACAAGCCUUAGCAUGAAUAUGUGAUUUUAUUAAUUUGCCUAUGAAUGGAUACAUGCUUGCUUUGAAUUAUUAACCACGACGAUUAAGCUAUCUAAUUGUUUUAGUGAUUCGUGAUCAUUAGGGUAUUAGACAAGCAAUUUGAUGCAAUUUCUGUUGGAACAUCACUCUGAAAUUGAGGAAGGCUUCUUGUGAUUAGUAAUUGUAAGUUCACUUAAGGUGAACAUCAUGCUCUUAGGGUUGCAUGGUUUUUUGAAGGGUUUUCACAAAGCUUAAUGAAUCUUACACGUUUAUAUUUGAUCGGGACAUCACAGACGGAUUGCAUGUUAGAUAUAUAUUUUCGCUUGAACAUCACAAGGAAAAUAUGUAUUAGGAAAACCUAACCUUCAAAGCAUGUAUGUAGAAAUUCAUAAGUAAUUGGUAAAAUUACAUAGGAUUGUUAAUGGUGACUGCAGAAUCCUAGUGUUUAAAUUGUUUUCCAAAACCUUUGUCUUUUGCUUUCUUUACUUUGUCAAGCACUUAAUUAUUUUUAUUUAAAUUCGUUUUUAUUAUUUUAAAUUCCAAAACCAACCAUUUCAAACCUUUGUUCUAAAUAAUUAGCUAAGAAUUAGUUUAAAUACAAAUUAUUCAUUCAAUCUAUGCGGCAAACAACCUUGUUUGAGCUAUUAUACUACGAUACCCUUGUACUCUUACAAAUAUUUUUAAGUGUUUUUAUUCCUACUUUUGUAGGUGAUAAAAAUCCUAUCAAGAAAUUGGUGCCGUUGCCGGGGAUCGUUUCAAAUAAUUUGUGUUUAUCAUAUUCUUAGUUAAUUAUUUUUGUAAAUAUCUUUUUACUUGUUGAUUUUAUUUUUAUUUUUAUAGGUUAUGUUUUGUUGGUUUUGAGAACAGUUAAACGAUGGGCUGGAAUCUACAACCAACAGGAGGGCUACCUUCAUGGAAUUAUAUCAAUAUGAGGAACUCUCAAAGGCCUAGGUGCGAUCCAUACUCAAAACUUUACAAUCUAAGAGCCCCUUGAACAGCCAACCGUGCCACAAAGAUCUACUCUAGAUGACAAACUUGCUGAAUUGGCAGAGUGUGUCAAGCAAUUUGUUGAUAGCAUGCCGAAUACCAAACCAUCAGCAAAGAUAAUUGAAGAGCAAGAUGGGCAGCUUUCGUAUCAAUUCAUAGAAAAUGAGAACGAUUCAUAUUCAAACUUUUACAAUCGGUGGACAGAGCAUCCUACUUCUAUGUGGGUAAGCAAUCAACAGGCUUUUCAGCAGCCCUGUGUGCCACAAAAACUUUCUUUGGAGGACCAGAUUGCUAAGUUGGAGGAGUCCACUAGGUUGUUCAUGGAGGGUACCCCUUAGUUGCAGAAAAUAAAUUCAAUCGACAAUCUGGCACAGCAAAUCGAGCAUCUCACGUAUCAAUUGGAAGAACAAGAAAACGAUUCCAAUUCAAAUUUCCCUAAUCAACCAAUCGCAAACCUACAGGGUUCAAAGGAGUGCUCUGCAGAUCAAACAUUGAGAUGGGGGGAAAACCAACGAUACUACAAUGGAAGAAUCUGAAAUUGAAGGCCCAACGGGAGAAACAGCGCCUACUGACCUUGAACCUGUUAUGACCCAAAGGCAGCAGCAGACCAUGACGGAUCAACAAAAUCAAGAUUCUAUGCGGACACAUGCAAAAGUGCACAUUAAUCUGCCGCUACAGGAUGCGACUGAAAAAUCUCCAAAGCAAUCACUAAAUUUCAAUUUAUUCGAGGCUCCAAGGCAACCCGCUAAGCAGCAGGAAUGCAUGAAUACUCAAACAGAUUUGGAUACAGGGCAGACGGGUGGUGAUGAGAAAUUUUUAAAUGCUGUACUGGAUAGUACACCAGCACAGCCGAUCAUAUUUAGAGAAAUUUGGGGAAAGUCCUACAAGCAAGCUAAGAUUUGCAUGGGAAAUAAGAAAAAGCUUAAUGGCAGCUGCAUUCUUCGUCAACAAAUUCUACUAGUGCAAAGGUUGUGGGUGUUAAAUACAAGGUUCAAGUCAUCCAAGUAUUGAACUUUGAGUGUGUGGAUUAAUCUGUUCACAUGUGUGCAAUAUGAUUUGGCCGAUGAUAAUAAGUUCACCAAGUGUUUCAAGAAAUGCCGUAGUGAAUAAACUAAAUUUUCUUUUUGAGUGGUUCCGGCUCUAUUCCUAUCUAGGAAACUUGGACCUUCUAGGACCUCCAAUGUUUAUUCUACAAAGUAUUGCUUGUGAGUGCUCUGGAUUGCAAAUUAUGAUUCCAGGCAAUAAAGUUUCAAGACGGUUUGGCUGUACCCAUAAAGAUCAAACGACAUUUGAACUUCCUCUAGAUAACGAAGGAUGAGAGAGAGGUAAAUCAUGUGUUGCUCAUUUUUUCAGCUUAGCUGACAAUUAAUUAAUUAAGUCCGUCGAAAAAAAAUACAAAACAAAGAUGUGGCCUUCGAAAGUGGGCAAAUGGGUCGGAAUUAUUAUUUCAUUCCCGGUGAAGAAAGGCCACAGUUGAUUACAAUAUCAAAAAAUAAUUGAAUACAGACAAACUAUAGUGAUCAGAUCAAAGGAAAAAGAAACUCCAUAGUGGAGAGAAAUUUACCUACAUCAUCAUCGGAGAUACUUUCCUUGGUAUGGCCACUAUUAGUAAUAUUUUUAUAUUUUUCAGUUGUCUGUGAUUAUUUUAAAAUAUUAUAACGGUGGAUUGUUACAUCAAAGGUAGUUGGUAGUAGUUUGCAACAAAACUUUAUCUCCUUUAAAUUAAAGAACCCCAAGUAACAAUUUUAUAUUUUUCAAUCGUCAAUGAAACUGCCUAGAAAAUUCAUCUCCUUCAACUUGACACCACAUUCAUAUUGAAAGGUAGUAGGUAGGAAACCGCUUGGUAGGUAGGAAGAAAAGCAUGAGGACUAAUAUAACAAGAGAGAGUCCACAUUCACAUUGAAGGUGGUAGGAAACUGCUGCUUCCUUCAAGGGAAGAAAAGCAUGCGUAAGGCCUGAUAUUAAUAUAUAUAACAAGAGAGAGUCCAAUGUCCACACUCCAUAGUCCAUACCAUACUGCAUAUUCCAAUUCUUUGAGAGGCCUCUUUUCUUUAGUUUAUUUGUCUUUAAUUCUCUUAUGGCCAUUCAACUUGCCUCUUCUUCUUCCUUGCCUCCUUCAUGGACAUAUGAUGUAUUUUUGAGUUUUAGAGGUGAGGAUACACGCUUUACUUUUACAGAUCAUUUAUACGAGGCCUUGCAUCGUAACAGAAUCGACACCUUCAUUGAUCGCCAUUUUAAAAGAGGAGAAGAAAUAUCACCGGCUUUUCUAAAGGCAAUUGAAGAGUCGAGAAUUUCAAUCAUUGUAAUCUCUGAAAAUUAUGCAUCGUCAAGAUGGUGCUUGGAUGAGCUCGUACAUAUCCUUGAAUGUAGAAGGUCAAGGCAGCAAAUAGUUUGGCCAGUUUUCUACAAGGUGGAUCCGUCCCAUGUACGAAAUCAAACGAGUAGGUUCGGUGACGCAUUUACAGGACUAGAGUGCAAAUACAAGGACGAGGAGAAGAUCCUCUUAUGGAGGAGUGCUCUUAAAGAAGUAGCAAAUUUGUCAGGACAUACUGUCAAAGAGGAAGAGUACGUACAUUUCUUCACUCCUUUUAGUUUGUUUAAUUAUAUGAUUCUGUAUUUCAGGUUUUAGUUUCUACUAAAAUAAUACCUAUUUAGUUGCUAGUUUUUAAAUCCCUAGCACUUAAAAACUGCAGCAAUUCCAUAAUUUUCCAGCUUUGUUGAAUGGCAAGUCUAUAAUUUACAUAUGAAGAAGAUAACUCUUAUCAAUGCUACUAUAUAAAGUUGGAAGCCCAUUUGCGGUCACGGGUUUCACCAUAAAUGAUGGGAUAAAAAUGCUCCUCAAAUAAAAAAGUUCAAAAAAGUCUAAAAUAAUACAUGAAAUAAUGUAGGAAUAUUUUGGUAAUAUAAACAGCAUUUUUUUUAUAAUUAAUUUUUUUGUACAGUUUUAUUUUAUAUUAUUUUUAUAAUUAAUACCAUAAUGUGUUAGUAAUAAUGUGAUUUAAUCAGUUGUUAAUUAAAUAUUAUUUUCUCUAUUUUUAAACAUGUUCAAAACAUCUUAAAAGAUAUGUAAUGCCGGUUAUAAAAAUGAUAUUUCUUGCGUGUAUUAUCUACAUUAAUGAAAAGGGGAUAGAUUUACUCCACACGCGCUACGCGCAUGAAGGCCAGUUUAUGUUAAACCUACAUGACCAUCUUCUUCAUAUAUAAUUAUCGACUUGUCAUUCACCAAAGCUAGCGAAUCAGGGAGUGACUCCUGUUGUUGCGGGCACUCCUCUUUCGUGUAAUACUCUGUCAUUGUUUUUGGGAACUGAUAAACUCACCCCGUUACUCUUAUCUUCCCACACAUUAUUAUUCCAUCCGCCAUACAAAAUUAAAAAAAAUUAAAAAAAAUUAACAUCUUAUUUUCCAACCCCUAUAAUCUACAUAGUCAUUGGUUUUGUUGGAGAGUUGUAGAGAGCAAGAGAUCUGCUUCAUCAAUUCAACUAAUUUAGUUCGAAGCAAAAGAAUUAAAUCGAAAAAGUGGAAGUAAGAAUAUCAGAAACAGUUAAAAAAAAAAUUCGAAUCUGCAAGUAAAGGGGAAGCAGUUUAAGAGGGAGAGCGUACCGGCGAGCUUCUCAGCAUCGAACCAAGAUUCUGAUUCCCCUGUCCUCUCUCUCUCUCUCUCUCUCUCUCUCUCUCUCUUAAAUUGCUCUCCUAAAGCCGAGAUUUGAUUCAAAUGACCUGGAAGCUAUCAAAUUAAAGAUGCAAAAUUGCAACAAAACGUCCAAAAUUUUAAAAUUUGUUGGAAAAAUCCACAAACUGAUGAACAUAUUUGGAAUUGGAGCCCUAGAAAUCACAGAAACGAACCAUGAGAAAUGCUAUCUGUCGGUGGAUUCUUGAACUUCUUCCGCCACCGGAAUAAUGGAUCUUUCUCCCACCGAUCAAAACUUGACUCCAUUAAUUAAUCUGCCCAAAUAAUGUACCUAUGGUGUUGUUUUAUAAUUUACCGAUUACUAAUGAUGUUAGGUAAAUUAGUACUUUUAGGAAAUAAAUGAUACAUAUCCAUACAAAACAUCUGCUUUCAUCGGAGAAAUUUUAUUUAAACUCAUAUAAUCUUUUUUUACAUCAAAUUUACUCUCUUCAUUCAUAUUGUUUUUUUAUUAAAAAAUUAAUCUCUCUUUAAACCCAAAUUUAUUACCUAAACUAUCCACUCAAACCCAAUUCAAAAUAUUAAAUUAUCUUUACACGUAUUUCCUUUAUAAAAUAACAUCUGUAAUUAAUUUUUUUUUAAGAAACGUCUUUGCCCCACCCCCCUCUCCUAGUAGCAUUUUCAUGGCUACUUUUUUUCUUUCUGCUACCAAAUCUAGACAUUUACCUUUUUUUCUUUAUACUGAUGUGCAUAAGCAACAAAUCAAACCAUUCAUCCUCUUAUAUUAUCAACAAGCAAUGAAGUUUAUAAUCUAAGAACAUUGGUAAGAAGUUUUUCCUUAUAAUUUUUCAAUUGCAGAAAGCUUAACAAACCAUUCGGAAUUGAUGAAAAAAAUUUAAAUCAAAUGAACAAAAUAUUCAUAAAUUAAGUCAUACCUUAGUUGGAGGAUUCAAAACUUCAAAAUCACCAUCCAUCAAUAAAAAAACUCGUUUUUCUCUAGAAGACCUAUUAGGGUUUUAGCCAGAAUGAAGGAUAAACAAGAAGUGAUGGUAGAGUUUAAUGGGUUUAUUGAUAAAUUUGAGUUUUAUUAUUAAUUUCAUUUUGUACUUAAUAGUAAUUAUGCAAUAUGUUAAAAUAGACAACAACAUAACAUUUAAAUGAAAAAAAAAGUCUAUGUCUUAUUGUUAUUUUUUUUAAACAAAAGGGAAAAAAAAAAGGAAAAAGUCAAUGUCUUAAGUAUGGAUAUGGAAAGAUGUUAGGAUUUUACACAGUAAUAAACAGUGUGAAAUUGUGAAUAAUGGCAUAGGGGUAAAUAAUUUUUAUUAAUGUGUCAAUUAUUAUCUUACAUGAUUCUGUGUUUAGCUGCAAGCGGCACAUACUUGACUGCAGCAGUGAUUAUCCAUUCCUCUGUUUUUUGGACCUGGAUUGUCUGCCCUCAUCAUUCCAUGCCUUCCUAUUUAUGUGGUCACGGUUAAGCCACGUCAACAUUUUAUAUUGAUUUUGCUUUUUGUCUUAUUAUUUUUAUAAAAAAAAUUAAUAUAAAAUGUUAACGUGGCUUAACCGUGACCACAUAACAUAAGAGGGCAUGGGGAGGGCAUGGAAUGGGAAGGGCAGACAAUCCAAGUCCCUGUUUUUUUCAAUCUUUUUUUUCUUUUCAUUCUCUUCUUCUUUUUACAUUUUUUUUUCCUUUUUUAAAGAAAUAUAGCAGAAAAAGUUGAUUGGCUAAAUGUGUCAAUUUUUUAUAUAAACUGGUAGGUAUGAAGCUACAUUUAUCAGUAAGAUCGUAAAGGAGAUCUUGGUCCGCAUGCAACAACGCAUGCAUUUGAACGUAGCCAAAUACCCAGUUGGAAUUAAGUCCUGUGUAGAAAAGGUGAAAGAGCUUUUAGGUCUCGGUGGAAAUGAUCCGUGUGUGGUUGGGAUUUGGGGGGCAUCUGGAAUCGGCAAGACAACAGUUGCAAAAGCUGUUUAUAAUGCAAUUGCUUAUAAGUUUGAAGGUAGUUGUUUCCUGGCAGAUGUUCGAGAAACGUCAAUGCAAUACGGAGGCCUAUUCCAACUACAAAACACUCUUCUAUGGGAGAUUGGUGGUUCAGAGUGGAAAGUUGUCAAUCCUCAUAGAGGAAACAUCCUUAUAGAGAAACUGUUGAGGCGAAAGAAAUCUCUCUUAAUUCUUGAUGAUGUGGAUGAUUUGGAGCAGUUAAGCAACUUGGUUCAAGUUAAAUGGCUCGGUGAGGGUAGCAGAGUGAUCAUAACCACAAAAAAUAAAGGAUUGCUGGAAUCUUGUAAAGUUGAGCUGAUAUACAAGGUCCAAAAGUUAGAAGACAACAAAGCUCUUGAGCUUUUUAGUUGGAAUGCCUUCGGAAAAGAAAAACCUCCAGAUGAUUAUUUGGGACUCGCACGGCGUGCAAUAGGCUAUGCUCAAGGCCUCCCGUUAGCUCUUAAUCUUAUAGGUUCUCAUCUGCGUGGUAAAAAUAUAGAUCGUUGGCAAGAUAUUUUAGAUAGUUACGAUGAAGAACCUUAUAGAGGGAUUCAAAGAGUACUUCGGAAAAGUUAUGAUACCUUGGAUUAUGUCCCGCAACAAGUUUUCCUAGACAUUGCAUGCUUCUUCAAGGGUGAAGAUAAAGACAAAGUUUUACAGAUAUUAAAAGGAUCAAACCUCAAAGUACGUCAACAUUGUAUUGAUGUUCUCGUUGAGAAUGCCAUUAUUACUAUUGAAUAUAAUAGGAUUUUGAUGCAUGACUUGCUAGAAAAAAUGGGUAAGCAUAUAGUUUGGGAAGAAUCGCCCACUGAACCAGGCGAGCGGAGCAGAUUAUGGCAUCAUGAAGAUGUGUACCAUGUUCUAACUAAAAAUAGAGUAAGUAGAAUAUAUGUUCUUGCAUUUGAUUUAAUUGGCAUGAUUUUGGAAAGAAAAAAAAAUUAAAUCCUUUUGAUUUCUUUGUUAUACAAUUUGUUUGUUAACGCUAUUUAUUUUUCCAUCUUAGGGAACAAAGAAAAUUAAGGGCAUUGUGGUGAAGUUGCCCAAGCUAGAUGUGAUACCCUUGAAUGCAAAAAGCUUUUUCAAGAUGGUAAAUCUUGAAAUUUUUAUAAUCCAUAAUGCAUAUUUUUCUGGAUGCGUUGAGUAUCUACCCGAAAAUUUGAGGUGGAUUAAAUUCGGUGAAGAUGGGCUUCAAGACUGGGGAUCCAAACUUAAAUUCAAUUUGCAAUCCAAUUGUCAUCUAAGGCAUCUUGUCACGUUUAUUAUGCCAAACAGUGACAUCAGACAAUUGAAGGUAUUUCAGGUAUGUAUACGUAUUAUAAAUUAAUUUGGACAAUUACUAAUUUAAUUGUAUACUUUAUUUUUGGAAAAAGAAAUUUGCCAAAGCUUUUCAUCAUUAAUUAUUUUAUUUAAAGUUUGUGAUUUUUUUUUUAUUUUGAUUUCUCAGAAUUUGGCAAAGCUUACAUCUUUGAAUUUAAGUGGUUCCGAAUUCUUAGAAAAAAUUCCCAACUUAUCCGGAAGUCCAAACCUAAGGGAGUUGAUACUAAAUAAGUGUAAACGUUUAGUUGAAGUUGAUGAUUCUGUUGGAUUCCUUGAUAAACUUGUUACAUUACGUCUUGUUGGGUGCUCUAGGCUUAAGAGAUUUGUGACGAGACUUAGAUUGAGAUCCCUUCAAAGGCUUAAUCUUGGUGGUUGCACAAGGCUCAAGAGUUUCCCAGAAAUAGAGGUCAAGAUGGAAUCUCUAGAGUAUUUGGCUAUAGAAGAAAGUGGCAUAAGAGAAUUGCCUUCAUCAAUUGCAUAUCUUACUGGGCUUCAAAGAUUGCAUGCAAAUUAUUGUGAGAACCUUACAGGUACAUCAUUACAUCACAUUUAUGGGUUGCAACAUCUUUACUAUAUUGAAAUGAAUGGAUGCCCAAAACUGGUGACAUUUGGGAAGUUUUCAACUCGCUUAGAUACUUCACAUUACAACGGUAUGCCAUUAGCCAUUUUCAACGUAAGCCGGCUUUAUCUUAUUGGAUGCAAUUUAUCAGAAAGUGAUUUCCUUGUGCCUCUUCAAUAUGAACCAUCCAAUCUUCAUUGCUGGUCCACAUUAGAAGAUCUUGAUCUGUCGGCAAACAAUUUUGUUAGUCUUCCGGAUUGCAUUAGCAAAUUUGUCAACUUGAAUGAGCUUAGAUUGCAAGGUUGCAAGAGGCUUCGGGAAAUUCCACAUGCCCUUCCACCAAAUCUAAGUGAUUUAUAUCUGGAUGAUUGCACAUCAUUGGAAAAAAUUCCAAAGUUGCCCUUGGGGCUUAGGCGUCUGCAGUUGACUAAUUGCUUUGGACUAAGUGGCGAUGAGGUGGCAAAGUUGGAAAAUAAUUUGUUGAACUUGAAUCAGGUUCGUCUCUCCUCUUUUAAUUUCUCUUGAAAUUAAAAUAUAUAAUUUGUCGAUACUUGGGAGGGAGAACAGAUGACGAUUGUUUGUAAUUAGUUAUUUACAUAUUAUUCACUAUUGCAGGAAUCUCUUCUGUACUCUCAAUUGCAAGUUAUGUAUCCAGGCAAUGAAAUUCCAAAGCGGUUCAGCUAUGCGUCUAAAUAUCUAACAGCCACUAGGAUUGAAAGUAUACGAAAUGAAGAUGAAGAAGAUGAUGAAGAAGAUGAUGAUGAAGAUGAAGAAGAAGAUGAUGAUGAAGAUGAUGAAGAAGAUGAUGAAUAUGUUGGAGGUAGUGAAUUUAGUAUUGAAAUUCGUCUAAAUUUACAGGAGAGGGAGACGUUAUUAGGAUUGGCUCUAUCUUGUGUUUUUCCACCACGGGUAUCAGAAUUUGGAUGUUUUUACCAUUUUCGUAUUUACAUCAACGAAGCAAGUGAUUUUGAAUUAUUUCAUUGGAUGGGGAAGAGCAUGGAGACAGCUCAUAUGGGGCUCAUGUUAGUGGAUUUAGAGAAGCAGGGAGAUAUUUGUAAAGUUAAACUUCAAUUCCCCGUAUGGGCACGCAUUAAAAUGUGCGGGGUGCACCCCUUAUUCCGCAAAGAAGAUGAUCGGCAACAACAAUGGCCUUCCUUAUCGUCGAACCCAGCGAUGAUCAACCGAAACGCACGCAGAUUGAUCACAAUGUUCCUUCUGAUAUUAAGGUACGGAAAAGCCCUUGAGCUUUUCAGUUUUAGCAAUUUUUUUAUUGUUCUUUAUUGUGAUAUCAUUUUUUAAAUUAAUAUAAUAGAAAUUAAUUAAUUUAAAUUAAAUAAAGGAAAAAAUUUGAACAGUUUUCAAUCUGCAUAAUCAAAGAUUUCAUAUCUGUAGGUGGUUAGUUAUUAGAAAAACAGAAACCACAUUUGUAUCUUGAAGUACAUUUCACUAAUCAAAUCAAAUUCUAAUUAAUCAAAACAAACAAUUAUGGAAGGGAAACAUACAAGGAGAAAUGAGAUUAUAAGUACAAAAUUCAAGAUUAAUUACCUAAAAACUUGGUUUUGUUCAUAUAAGUACAAAAUUUCUACACGAAGAUCAAAGAACUACAUCGUAUGUAAACCACAUGCUUCUCUUUGUUAAUCAAGUUUACACGCAGAGAUGAAAGACUUGUAGGACUACUGUUUAAUCAAGAAUCGGGGUUUGCAACUAUUUUUUUAUUAGCAUUUACUUCUGCUUUUUCAAUUAAUGGAUACGUGGAAAAUUUGAUUUGGUGUGGAUUUAGAAAAGAAGCAGGGAGAUAUUUGUAAUGUUGAAUUUCUUUUCCUCAAGGGCGCAUGCAUUAAAAGUUGCGGGGUGCACCCACUAUUGCGCAAAGAAGACGAAUGGCUUCCCUUGUCUUUGGGACCAACAAGUAGUCUUGGAAAGACGCCUCGUCCACUUGGAUCCUCAGAUACCGUCCACGAGGAAUAUGAUCGGCAACGACAAUGGCUUUCCUUAUCUUCGAACCCGGCGGAUGAUCAUCCGAAACGCAGGCAGAUUGAUCUUAAUGGUCCUUUUGAUAUUGAGGAGGAGGAGCAAGAGCAACCAUCCACUUCAGAUGAUUCACAAUUUUUUCUUCAUUAGGAGUUUGGGUACGUACAUUUCAGUUUUAGUAUAACUAAAUAAUUUUUUUAAUUUUUUUUUGUAUUGUGAAUUUGUGAUACCUUUAUAGAUUAAUAUAAUAAAAUUAAUUAAUUUAAAUUAAAUACAUAAAAAAAAGAAAAUUACAUUUUACCUCCUCAACUUUGGGUCACAUAACAAUCUCAUAUUUUAUCUUUUAAAUAUUGCUAUAUUAUACAUCAAUUUACAAAUUUGCUGCAAUAUCAUGCCUCCAUCAACUUUUCUGUUAAUUUUUAUGUUAAAUGCUGAUGUGGUAGACACGGAUCCGCUCACUUACUUAACUAGGUUAUAAAAUUAAUUUAAUAUUAAAAAUUAAAGAAUUUUUAGUUCUAAAUUAAAUUAAAAUUAACAAAUAAAUUGAUGGAUAUUUUAACGGAGGUUUAAGAUUGCAACAAAUUCGUAAGUUAACUAAGACAUUGUAAUGUUUAAAAGAUGAGGUAUAACUUUGUUAUAAGACCCAAAGUUAAGGUGGCCCAUGUAAUUUACCCAAGAAUUUAAACAAUUUUCAAUUUGCAAAAACAAAGAUUCCAUAUCUGUAGGUGGCUACUGGCUAAUUCUUAGAAAAACAGAAACCACAUUUGUAUCCUAAAGUACUUUUGACUGUGAGUGAGUAAGCCACACUUCAAUAAUAAAACCAAAUUCUAAUUAAUCAAAACAAACAACAAUGGAAGGAAAACAUACAAGGAGAAAUGAGAUUAUGAGUACAAAUUUCAAGAUUAAUUAUCUUAAAACUUGGUUUUGUUCAGAUAUAUAAACCUACAAAGAGAAAUGGAGAUUAUAAGUAUAAAAUUUCUGCAGGAAGAUCAAAGAACUACACCGUUUGGAUGAACAUGUAGAGCACGUACUCCUCCCUCUGUUAAUCAAGUUUACACGCAGAGAUGGAAAACUUGUUGGAGUACUGUUUAUAUAAGAGUACUUUUUAUGAGCAUUUCCAAUUAACGAAUAGGUGAAAUUUUUUGAUUUGGUGUUGAUUAAUAAGAUUUAGUAUGAUUUUAAUAUCAAGAUGAGACAACAAUAUGUAGAAAACAUGGCCAUAAUUUCACAGGUCUCUGUCCCUAUAUAUUGAUUCCUUGCAGAUUCUGGGAUGGAGUUUGGGUCAAAAUUGCAGCCAACUGUGUCUUGACACAUUUUUGGUUUUGGACAAAUACUCUGUCUCCUGCCUUUUGCCAUUUAUGGCUCCUUUGUUUUCUCUGUUGCUGCUGGGACAGAGUCCAUUAGAUUUGCCCGUUUAUUUUCUUUGCUCCCACAAACGGGGUGCAGGAGGCUAAAAAAUGAGCUUUGAAAUUUAUAGGGCCCGUUUAUUUCAUUCCAUUGACAUUUUCAAGCUAACUUUUUGGCUUCUAUGAUCCACAGGUGAGUUGGCUUCGCACAGGCAAGGAAACAUCAUUGGAAGAGUUCAUCCUUAGUCCCCCCAAUGUGCUUACUGAAAAUCAGGGAAAUCAAAUACGGCUAUAUGGUCCCGAAAAGGGCUUAUCAUACAUCGCCAAACCUGCAACUGGACAGAGUUUUAUAUCUCACCACGGGAGCACGUUGAACCUAAGCAUGCCUCUCGUGGAUCCUCUGGUCACUCUCUUUGGCAGUGUCCACGAGAAGAUGUCCGAAAGGGGAAGCAAAGGCAGCAUGCUUUAUCCAAAUCUUGGAAGCAUUUUGAAUGCAGGGGAGUAUCAUAAUAAAAACGCACAUUGGGACAUAGAGAGCCAGACAGAUGGUGAGGAUCACGAAUCUGAAGCAUCCGGGGCUUAUUGUGAUGAAAGCUUGAGAAGUCCACUAAUCUCGUGCCAAACAACAGGCAUGGGAACGCCUAGGUCUUGCGGCAGUGCUUUAGGUGUGAGAUGCAAUACAAUCUUGAUGAAAGGAAAUGUACAAGCUAGCGAGGCUAUCAGUAGUAGUAUGGACACUGGUGGAGGUUGGCAGCUGGCUUAUAUAUAAGUAUUCUGACCGAGUAGGCGAAGACGGGAAGAAGGAAGGAGGAGUUCAAAAAGUGUAUUUGCAUCAGGAUAGUGCACUUUGGUGUCGGCCUGCGUCGGUUGUUUCAAUUUCUGGUGCAUUCAUGGUGGUCUGGUUAGUCAGCCUGAUGUUUCAGAAACUUUCUUGUUUGUCAACCUUCUAUGUUGUCGGGUGCAUCGAUUCUUGGAUAUUUGUUUACUUGAAGGUGCCUGAAACUAAGGGCAUGCCUCUUGAAGUCAUCUCUGAGUUCUUUGCUGCAGGUGUAAACCCAGCUGCUGCUGAUGCAUCUGCGGAUUCCAAUGAAAAGUGAUUUGAUUGUUUAGAGGGUUUGAAAUUUGGUUUGAUUUUAGACUGGGAUUGUGAGGAUAGGGCUUGAAUUGGAGAAGUGCUUAUGACUAGAUUGCUUUUUUUUAAAGUGAUUUUCUAAUCAUCAAUGUCCCUUCCUUAAUGCUGCAGAAGUAUAUUUGAUAUGGAAAACUAAUGAAAAUGGCUUGAAAACCCUAUUUGAUACCAUGUUUUCUAAUCAUAGAUUCUUAAUCUAAUCCUAAAUAUUGAUUGAAGUUUAAAACAGUCUAAUUAACCACCCUUGUAGUUCCAAAUUGAAGUUUAAAACAGUCUGCACUUAUAUUUUCCUAUCUAUUUAAUUUUAGGCAGACAUAUAUUGUUGUAGACACUCUUUCUUAUUAUUGUGAUCAUAUACCAAAUAACUCAAUAUAGAUCACAAUAAUUCUUACUGAAGUAUGGUUUAAAUUUUUGUUAGAUAUGAAACUGAUCAAAAUCAAAUUGCUCAUGCGUUACAUUGUAUUUAAAAAAAACGUGUGUCUAACACUAAUUUGAUUUGCAUACUGUCUUAUAAGAUCUUAUUUAACUCGUGACAAAUAAUAGUAUAUGACUUGCUAAUUUAUUUACAAAGGAGAAAUUCACUAACUUUACGUAUCCUAAACGGCCAAUAUAUGCACCUGAGUUUGAAUUUUCAUUCCCAUAAUAUAGAUUUUUUUUUUAAGUUUGUAUGAAAAGAAUUUUACAAUGUCUUGAAAAAAUAUGAAGGAAGAAAAAAAGAAACUGUUUUUAACUGCUGCCUAAGCUGAGCCCAGUUGCCGUGUAGCACUAGCAAGUAGCAACAGGAAAGUCUGCUGAGAAAAGUCAGUCAUCGUCUUCACUAAAUUGAGUUAGAAGAAUUAGGGGUUUAGAUUUGCAAAGAUCCAAAUUUUAUCAGUCUCUCCGAAAGUAAUCAGAGAAAUGGAAAGUCAACCAAAGAACGGAGACUCGCUGGAGAAGCGGCCCGGCAUCUUCUUCCUCGGCUCCCCCGGCGUCGGCAAACGCUCUCUCAUUACGCGUAAGCUCUCUCUCCUUUGACCGAUACUAAGCAUGAUCUGUUGAUUUGUUGGAUUACUGGGUUUGGAUUUAUACAAUGCUUCUGAUUCUUCAUCGUCAUCUCAACUGGUAGUCAAUGGGUAUGUAAAUUUUUAAUUUUGGGAUCAAAGAAUUCAAUUUUAGGAAUUUUGGGUACAAAGAAUACAACUUUUAGGAAUUUUGGCAACAAAGAAUUCGUUUUUAAUUCUUUUGAAAUGUGAAUUUUGAUGAUUUUUUUUGUGUUAAAAAAAUAGAUGGAAUAUCUCUACAAAGUACUACACAGCUGACGUUUCGGUAUGGAUGGCUCGUCUCCAUGACGAAUUUUCGAUUGAGUCCCUCCCAAUGUUUGACCAGUUGGCUGCCUUGAUCUGGUUUUCGACACAACUGAGGUUUCCGUCUCUUGCCACUCACUCUUUGUCAUUUUGUUUACUUAUUUAGCAUGAUUUUCGAUGUGUCUUGUAUCAAUUUGUUCGCGUUAUGCUGCAGUUGUCGUCUCUGUCUGCGCUUCAGAAAUAGGUAUCUUGAACUGAUCUUCAAAAGUUCGAUAUACUAGUGUGCAUAGGGAAUAAGGUUGAUCUUGUUCCAGGUCACCCGGUUCAUACCGAAUAUAGAAGACGACUGCAGAAGUUUGGAGACCAGUUUGAUGAUGACGACGAUCUAGGGUUCACUGUGUAUGGAAUCACCGAGACUGAAGGAAGCAGUUUAUUGGGGGAUGACGAGUCAUAGGCCAGAGACACAUGUUUGGAAUGGUGCACUGAGCAUAACUUUGAGUUCGUCGAAGCUUAUGCUGAUUUUAACAAAUGUAAGGCAGCACUUCUUUCUGACUCGUAUUUUAUGGCAAGUUUUAUACGAAAGUGAAAGUUUGAAGCCGGAUGAGAUGUCAAAUUGUUACUAGGCAGCAGUUUAGGUGUGGUUACAUAAAAACACAUGGUGUACCAUACAACUAAAAAUUUCUCCCACAUAAGCAGCACACAGGAUAAACUCAAUUGAACAAGUUGUUGCUCAGGCUCUUUUGUUCAUGAAGAAAUUUUUCAUUAUUGUGCCUAGAAUCAAGUUUUUAAUUUUUUUUUCACACAAAUAUCUCAUCACUUGUUUAGUGACACAUGAUGUAUCACCAUGUGUUAUGGGUAUACUGAAAAAUCUCUCGGCUCUAUCUCUGUCAUCUUAUAAUUUAAUUUCGAUUUUCGUGCCAACAUUACAAAACAUUAUUUCAAAAGUAUGAAGUGAAAGAUAUUCUAUGGAGACUAGGAAUAUAAGUUGCUUAUUAAGGUUUUUAUUUGACCAAUGUGAUAUUUUGGUUAGGUAAGUAAUUGAAGGUGAACGUUCUUAGUUAUCUGAAAACAUUUUUCUGAUGGUUUUAGAAGCAGCCCAAGUGACCGGUUCGAUAUUUAGGUAAGGAGGUAAAUGAUUAUGUACAAGCGUCGAUAACAUAUUCAAAAUCUAAAGCACUUAUAAACUAUCAUGAAGUAAACGUUCUUGAUUAUCUAAAGCACUUGCAAAAUUAUUAAGAAAAGGAUAUUCUUAGUUAUCUGAAAACACUUUUUUCUCAAUAAUUUUUAGAGGCAAUUUCGCAGUGUUGAGAUGUUAGCUUCGAAGGCACUCCAACUUGCAAAGAGUGCUCCACAAAGUUCAACAAAAGUAGAAACAAAAUCAAUUAAAAAUCCCAACUCACAAGUGAGAGCAAUGGUUAUGCUUCAAGGUCCAACCAUCUGACCUCUCUAAGUUAGGCUUCAAUUUUACUUCAUUUCCCACUCCAAAUUUCCAAGCAUCUGUACCCCAUUGACCCUUUGCCCGCUUUAAGCAAUCUAGAAAAAUCAUUUACAUAAGAGAAAUACUAAGUGAAUUCUUUCAAAACGAACUUUUCAUAACUCUUCGUCACAAAAAAUAAUUCAAUUUUAUUGUCUCCUUUGCAUGCAAGAAUUCAAUUUAUACCUAGCUGAUGUACAUCAUUGUAUAAAAUUCCAAAACUACCAGUGCUUUGGAUUCUGGACCUGACUAAUCACUGUAGACUAAGUAGUGAUGAGAUGGCAAAGUUGGAAAUAACUCGUUGAAUUAGGUUCAUCUCUUCUUCUUAAUUUCUGAUGAAAUGAAAAUUAAUCUUGUUGAUAACUGUAAUUAUUUAACUAUAUAUAUACAUUACUGCAAGAACUUCUUCUGCGUUCUGAAUUGAAAAUUGUUCUUCGAAGCAAUGAAAUUUCGAAGUGGUUCAGAUAUACAUAAAAAAAUUAAAUUUUUUUUCAUUGUGACGGGAAUACAGGUUACCACCACGGAUGUUUAUGUAAAUGGUGGGAAAUUUUAUUUUUUAAGUUAUUAACCUUUUAACAUACAUAUCCCAACAUUUGUAUAAUGACAUAUGGUAUACUAUUUCGUGUGCCGGUCACAUUAAAAAAUCACUCUGGUUAAGAAAAAAAUGCAUUAUUAGUCUAAAAGACCACCGAAUGUCGGUGGGACCAAGUUUGAUUGCACUGCUCCCUCUUUUUUAUUCUUGAAUUAAAAAAAAUCAAAAAGGAGAAUUAAUAGGUAAAAGUAAAAAAAUAAAAAAAGUACAAAAGAAGGAAUCGGGUGUGAAGAAAAUCACUCUACAAUACGUAAUACUUUUGUUACAUUUUUGAAAGUCAAUUGCAUGUUGAUGUGCUUUUAACUUUUGAGUACAGAAUACUUAAUAUUUGUCAAUCAAUCAUCGGUAUAUAUCAUGUUGGAAGAGGAUUCCCAUUGGAUUCUUUUUGUGGAGAUUUAGGUGAUUUUCUAAUUCUGCGUAUUUAUCGUUAUUGUGUAGUAAAAAAUCAUAUUAAAUAUUUAUAUUUAAAAUUAAAAUUAAAUAUUAUUUGACGAAAAUUGAUCGAACGAUGAACAAUAAACGCACCAAAUUAAAGGAUCUCCCUAAAUUCCCAAAAAAAAAAAUCUGAAGAUGAUCCUCUUCCUAUCAUGUUGAUAUCGUGGAGCACAAGGUAAUAGUUAGCAAACGAAAUUGAUAGGAUAGGGGUAAUGUGAUUAAUACAAGUGCAAAGACGACAACGAGGGAUAAAGUGAUACUUUCGUGCUAGUUCCGAGGACAUUUUGGUAAUUAAGCCUUUAUAUUUACUAAUCUUGAUUUGAUUUAUAAUUAGUACUCAUUUUUGGCGUCGUAUCAUUCUGACAUGGAUUCCUUCCGGAUCCAUUAUGUGGGGAACUAGGGAUAUUUACAUCUCAGUCGUUUAUUGUGUAUCGCAUGAUCAUAAAUCAGUUGAUUUUUAUUUAUUUAAAAUUAAACACAAAUUGUACAUGAUGAAAACUGAUCGCAUAAUAUACGAUGAACGCUGAGAUGUGUUGAAUCUUUAUCGAUCCCUUUUUUUUUAACGUUUAACAAUUGAACUCAUUAAUAUUAAAAUAGAUAAAAAUAGAGUACGAACAAAAAAAAAUCUUAAAUGCUUUUGUUGCAGUCUUUCAAGUUAAUUGCGUAUUUUCAUGCAUUUUAACCUUUGUAUGUACAUAAUUGAUUUGUCAUACGGUCAUAGUAGCUUCAUAUGACAUCGUUUAUGUGUCAUGCGGGUGAAAAGAACGUGUGCUUCAAUAACAAACGAAAAUAAUAAAUAAAUAAUAAAACUAAUGAAAAUGGUUUGAAAAUUUGAGUUUUAAUGAUAAAGACAAAACAAAGGAUAAAGUAAAUAGUAUCAGGAUUGACUUUUUAGUAUAAAAAUAUGGUUUUUCGUUAAAGUGAACAGUACCGAAAAGUUUUUUUGUUAAAAUUCCCUAAAAAAAAAAAUCAAUCUUUAUGAAUAGAAGUUGCAACCAAAGCUCCUCUCCAUCAAUUCUGGAAGGUAGCACGUAGGAAACUGCUUUGUGGCUGUGGGUAGGCAGAAAAGCAUGAGGCUUGACAAGAGAAAGUCCCCAAGUUUAUUUGGCUUUUAGUAUAAAUUAUUUUCUCAUUUGUCGAAGAAAAAAUCACCUUAAAUGACUCACCUUUCUUCAGGUAUGCGACAUUAUUUAUAUGGUUCAAAAUGACACAAACCGGAUAUAAAUAAUGUGGGGGUGUGGUUAAGGAAAAAAUGCAUUAUUACUUUGGUAACUCAAAAACCAUCUAUUGUUGGUGAAACCAGAAUUUUCCUAACAUUUGCUCACUGACGUUAUCGUUUUGUUGAAAAAUAUAAAUAAAUUCUGCACCUGCAUCCUGUUUUCAAUGCACUGCAUAUUCCUCUGCUUCUCUUGUUUUUUUUUUUUUUUUUUUUUUUUUUUGUUGUUCUCGUUACGAAAAUGAAAAUUAUCCAAAAUGAAUGGUAUUAGCUAUUCCCAUCCUAAAUGGAAGCGUGAAGGGAUUGUAAGAACUUUAACACAGAUCGAUGAUAUGCCAAUUGAAUUACCAAUGUUCUGAAACAAGUCAAGUGACAAAACUUAUGAACAAGAACAAGGAUUGCCGAGAACAUACCUGCAGAAUUUGAACUUGAAGAAACCAUAACAGCCUCUGUGUUCAAAACCUUCUCCUCUUUUACGAUCACAAUAGCUUUUCUAAUCAAUAGGACUUAGAACAACAUAAGCUAAUAUCGCAAGAGCAGUGGUUUGAACCAUAAAUAUAUAGUGCUCCUUCGUCCAUUCCCUAUCAGAAUUGGACUAGGAUUCAAAGACAUACAAACCAUAAAGAUUCAUGAGACUUUAUAAAGUUCCAACACAAAGUUCUUUUCCAAAACCAAUUGGAACUUCUCUCAAGACUGCAUUCCUUAUCAGAUUUAGACUUCUUUAUAAUAUCAAUUAUCCCAAGACUUAUAAGAAUCAUACUCAUACUCUUACAUUCUCCCACUUGAGUAUGAUUCAUCACAACAGAUAAUCAUCUCAAAUUAUAAAGGUGAUCAGAUAAGUCAUUCACCAUCACACUAGUACAUAGACACAACCUGCUUACAUAAACCAAAACAAUGAAUUUAUAAUUGCCUAUGCAACACAAAAUACAGAUUUAACUUACAAAUCACAAUGUCCAGUUUAUGUUCAUAGCAAUGUAUCUAAGCUCAAAUUUAUAUAAAAAUUACCAAAUGUUUUGGAUAAAAGCUUAUCCUCACAUACAACUUACCUAUGCAUUUUACCAAACCAAUUUGCUCCCACUUAUCUAGGCCAUACUUAACACAAACAAGUUAAGUAUAAGUUAAUAUCAACUGUAUUAACUAACAGUCAUUGCAAUACACUGAAUGUCUUAUUAAUGUGAUCAAUUGCCGCAACCAAUACGCAAACAAAUUCCAUGAUCACAUUCAUCCAAUUCGUAUUUACAACAAUGUGAUUUUACUUGACCAGAGCAAACACAUAAAUUGAUUUGCUCCCACUAUAUCAAGUUAAGUUUAGUUCCAGCAAAUAGCACUAAACUUCUCAUUACUUAAACAAAUUAAGUAACAUAAAUAAUUACCAAUUGCUUCAAUAAAACCAUAAUCUGGUUUUCAAGCAUCCAUAUGAAUUAUAAUGGCUGGCUUAAAUACUCUUAGCCUUAUGCUUAUAUUCGAACAUACGAUUCUCCCACUUAAGCAUAAGGAGAAUAUACUGCACAGUCAAUAAAGAAAUCGGAGAUAUGAACCAAUUGGUUCCCGAUUCCUUACCUAUUGCAUAAUCUCAGUUUAGUUAUAUACACCUAAACCAUUAUACAAAACAGUCUAUGUAUCAAAAGAUAGUCACAAUCCAUUCGGAAAAACUUAUCUCACAUAAACUCAAAAUCACUAGUUUCAACAAUGAUCAAAAUCAGAAUAGCAAGCACAAUAUUUUUGCAUUCAAUUUGAUCUUAACUAGUUCAAUAUCCAUCGAGCAAGAUCAACCAAAAUUUGAUAAUGUUUGGAUAUAUAUGACAACAAUAUAUCUUGAUUAAAACGAGAUAAUCAAGACUACUAUUUCUUCUGGAGAACUCGAAGUUCAUCUUUCUCCUUAUUUGUGAUUUCAACCAAAAUAUAAUAGCGGAAGCAUGCAUCAUGAAAUCACAAAUAUACAUAUACAAUAAGCAUGCAUCGAUAUAUAUACAUGAUAAGAUUAGUCGACAAUAAUCCAGAUUAAAAAUCUUCAUGCCUUUAAUUCAUUGUCAACACCAUCAUCAAUUAUAUACAGAUUCGUAAGCAAGUCCUUGGAGAAAUAAUGAUAACUGCAUAUCAUUAGUCUUAUGAAUUUCCAAUAAGAUGACAAAUAAUUAUUUGUUUUCCGAUUCAUAAUAGAAUAUAUAUUUUGUAAAUGGCUAAAAGUUUAUUGUCACAAGACUCAUUAUAGGCGGUCAAUAAAACAUCUACCUUAUAUAUUCAUUUGUUCAUAUAUUUUCUUGUAUGCUUGCAUCAAUAUUCAGAGAAACUUAUGCAAGUUCUAUUUGAUAUAGAUAAAGCCGCAUGCCCAUAAUUACAACAUCUAUGCAUGAAUGCUAUCUAGAUAUGAAUACAAAUUUAAUUCAUAUAUGCGAUUUAUGUAUAAGUCACAAAGCAAUUGGCAUCCAUUUUAUAUAUGCAUUCCAUGUUGUUGCUUUAUAUUGCUUGCCGACUUGCACAUGAUAUGCAGUCAAAUCCAUUCCAACCCAAACUUGAUAUAAAUCAAACCAAUUGAAAAUCAGGAAUUGACAAUAAGAUGUGCACUUGUGCUGCUCCCCGCAAUUAAAUGUAUUGAGAUUCAUACAUGAAACAAUGCAUAUACACAGACUCUUUAAUGAAAAAUGGAAAAGUAUAUCUAGACAAAUUUGUUUAUGCAGCAAAGUAUGAUUCCAGACAUCUCACAUAAAUCACAAGUUGGCAUCUAUAGGGAUUUCGAGUUUAAUCAUGCCUUUACAAUUUAUAUAAAUAAACAAGCAUACUCGAAAUAGCAAAAGACCUAAUCAUUAUGCUCCAACUCAUCACACUAUAAUCAUGCAUAUAGGAGAACAAUUAAUCACGCAUGAAACAGUGAAGUGAGUUACAUGAAUGCAUCAUUGGACUCGUAUUCGUCAACCAAUUGCAAUUCCUCGACUCCAAAUUAACGAAAUUACUUAUCCAUCAGUGCUCGAGAAUCGUCCAUGCGGAUUGUCAUCACUCCAAAUUCCCAUGCGGAUUGCCAUCAUAAUCAACACAGCGGAAACAAGAAUUUUGAAAAUCAGAAUUACGAUGUUUAUGAGAGAUGUAUACUGAUAAAUUACUAUACUUAUCACCAAAUAAGCAAACAUGAAAAAGUUCUCUCAACCCCAGAUUGAGAAACACGGUUUCAGAAUAAGUAACUAAUCUUGACACCAAUUCCAUUUAACUCAAUCUAAAUGUUAAACAAAAUUCAAGAAAUUGCAAUAAGAUUUCAAAAUACAUACCCUUUUAUGAAUGGUUUCAGGAUCGUAUCAAUCUUAGCAUCAAUCAUGUAUAAAGAUUGCAGUAUUGUAUAUAUUACAUCAGGAGUUUUGUAUGUAUCAAGGAUCAAAAUUCGAUAAACUUGAUAUAAUACAUCAGGAGUUUUGAAUUAUAAACAUACCUUUGGGAACAAAAGAAAAAUAUAUAUUAUCGCAAAUCCAAAUCUUAAACAAAGAUGGUUGUGAACGAGAAGAUCUAGAAGCAAAGCAUGUUUGGAUCAUCACAACUUCAAACCAAGAAGAGAAAAAAGGUGCAAACCCAGAAAAUUUCGUACAAGGUUAUGAGUUUUGCCAAUAUUCAAUUUAAACAAGGUUAUACGUUUUCUAGGUUUGGAACGUUUAAGUGUUCAUAGCUUUUCCAUCAGAUUCUUGUGUAAAUUUCGAACUCAAUGACAAUAAUCAACUAGGCUCUGAUACCACAUGUAAGAACUUUAACACAGAUCGAUGAUAUGCCAAUUGAAUUACCAAUGUUCUGAAACAAGUCAAGUGACAAAACUUAUGAACAAGAACAAGGAUUGCCGAGAACAUACCUGCAUAAUUUGAACUUGAAGAAACCAUAACAGCCUCUGUGUUCAAAACCUUCUCCUCUUUUACGAUCACAAUAGCUUUUCUAAUCAAUAGGACUUAGAACAACAUAAGCUAAUAUCGCAAGAGCAGUGGUUUGAACCAUAAAUAUAUAGUGCUCCUUCGUCCAUUCCCUAUCAGAAUUGGACUAGGAUUCAAAGACAUACAAACCAUAAAGAUUCAUGAGACUUUAUAAAGUUCCAACACAAAGUUCUUUUCCAAAACCAAUUGGAACUUCUCUCAAGACUGCAUUCCUUAUCAGAUUUAGACUUCUUUAUAAUAUCAAUUAUCCCAAGACUUAUAAGAAUCAUACUCAUACUCUUACAGGGAUGAGAUAAGGAAUGGGACCCUGACAAAGACUGGUAAUAGUAUUAGUAAUUAGUCUUCGGUAGUUCAAAGACGACCGUGGAACCAAGUUUGAAUGCACUCCUCCCCUUUUUUUUAUUCUUGAAUUAAAAAAAUCAAAAAGGAAAAUUAAUAGGUUGAAAUAAAAAUAUAAAAAAAGUACAAAAGAAGGAAACGGUGUGAAGAAAGUCCCUCUACAAUACGUAAUACUUUUGUUACAUUUUUGAAAGUCAAUUGCAUGUUGCCGUGCAUUUUAAUUUUUGAGUAUAGAAUACUUGAUAUAUUGUCAAUUAAUCAUCCGUAUUUUGUCAAUUAGUGUCUGGUACCUAUGGAUCCUUUAAUCUGGACCGUACAACUAACAGUCCUGAUUUGAUUUGCACAUCAAUCAAUGGUCCAAAUUAAAGGAUCUAUAAGCUCCAUAACGAAUCCAAUUCCUAAAAAAUUUGAUCGUAUAAUGAAUAAUGAAUGUACCAAACUCCCACAAAGAAGAUCCGGAGAGAAUCCUCUUCCUAUCAUGUCGAUAUCGUGGAGCAAAAGGUAACAGUCAGCAAACGAAGUUGAUAGGAUAGGGGUACUGUGAUUGAUACAAGUGCAAAGACGACGAGGGAUAAAGUGAUACUUUCGUGCUAGUUCCGAGGACAUUUUGGUAACUAAGCCAUAUUUAGUACUCUUUUUUGGUGUCGUAUCAUUCUCUCUCUCAAAGAUUAAUUAUAAGAGAACUUUAACAAAAAGCUUCAUGUAUUAUUUAUUUUAAUAAAAAAUUAUAUUUUUACACUAAAAAGUUAAUUAUGGUAUUAUUCACUUUAGUUUUUUUUUUAUAGUUAAAACUCAAAGUUUUCAAGUAUUUUUUAUUAAUUUUCCUUAAUUAUGAUUUACAAAUAGUAGCUGAAAUGGGUCUCUUUUUUCUUUAUAUGCAAUUGUAUUUCAUUACUUCUUUUGUCUUUUUCUUCAGCACUGAAAAAAAAAAAAGAAAAUUGCUUUCAUACAUCAUUUCUCAUUUUAUCACACUUUUGUUUUGUUGUAUUUAGAUUGAAAUCACUAGCGACAAAAAUUGUCCGAAUGGAAUCGUUUUAGUUGUUCCCGACUAAUAUAAAAGUCCUAACAAAGACCGACAAGAGCAACGUGGGGCUGGUAAAAAAAAGUUGAGUCAAAAUCGCUACCCAGAAAAUUGUCCGGAAAGAAUCUUUUUAUAGCUGUUCCCAUCUGUCUAGUUUGAUGAAUGGAAGUUCCGAGGAAGGUUGCUUUGCUUUAACUUUAUCACGUUCACAUUGAAGGUGGUAGGAAACUGCUGCUUCACAUUGAAGGCAGAAAAUCAUGCGAAAGGCCUGAUAUAUAACAAGAACGAAUUCUUGGUGCAAGUACCAGUCCAGCAUCCAUACUCAAUUCUUUGAAAGGCCCUUACCUAGAUUUCUCCAAUGAACAAUCAACUUGUCUCUUCUUCUUCCUUCAGCAGUCCUCCUUUGUGGAAGUACGAUGUCUUUUUGAGCUUUAGAGGAGAGGAUACACGAACCAAUUUUACAGAUCAUUUUUACAAGGCGUUGGACGGCAAGGCAAUCACCACGUUCAUUGAUCACCAACUUAAAAGAGGAGAAGGAAUAUCUCAGGCUCUUCUCGAAGCAAUUGAUGAGUCGAGAAUUUCGAUCAUUAUAUUAUCUAAAAACUAUGCAUCUUCAAGAUGGUGCUUGGAAGAGCUCGUACGUAUCCUUGAAUGUAGAAAGUCAAGGAAGCAAAUUGUUUUGCCAGUUUUUUACAAAGUGGAUCCGUCCGAUGUACGAAAGCAAACGAGUAGUUUGGUGACGCGUUUACAGAAAAGUUCAAAUUCGAAGACAACAAGGAGAAGAUCCUCACAUGGAGGAGUGCUCUUACAGACGCAGCAAAUUUAUCAGGAUAUACUUUCAAAGAGGGAGAGUACGUAUAUUUCUUCCCCUUAUACUGCCUUUAAUCUGAAAAGAUGACUUUACCUGAAAUUCAAUUUUCUUUACAUAAAACCCAACCUAGUUUUUGUGCUUGACUAAUUAAGCUUAACAAGUUACAUUUUAUAUCUUUUGGUUUCCUAAAAUACCCCUAAUAACAAUUUGAUUCUCUAGCAUAUUUAUAUCCAUUUAUUGUGUUAAACCUAUUGCAAGUUUAACUGGUCACUAGUACUCAUUGUGUUAAAUUUCGAAUUGGCUGGAUUAAUUACCCGAGUGUACCCAUUUUUUGUUGUUCAAAUUUUAAAUUUAUUAAUAUUUUUUGGUUUCCUAAUUUUGUUUGAAAAAUCAAUUUACCUACGUUUUUGAAAAAUUAACUUACAAAUUACUGAUUUUGAUUAAUAAUGUACCUAUGGUGUUGUUUUAUAAUUUACCGAUUACUAAUGAUGUUAGGUAAAUUAGUACUUUUAGGAAAGAAAUGAUACAUAUCCAUACAAAACAUCUUUUUUCAUCCGAACAACAACAUAACAUUUAAAUGCAAAAAAAAAGGUCCAUGUCUUAUGGAAAGAUGUUAGGAUUUUACAGAGUAAUAAACGGCAAUGUGAAAUUGUGAAUAAUGGAAUAGGGGUAAAUCAUUUUAUUAAUGGGUCAAUUAUUAUCUUACAUGAUUCUGUAUUUAGUUGCAAGCGGCACAUGCUUGACUGUAUCAGUGAUUAUCCAUACCUCUGUUUUUUUUCAAUCUUUUUUAUCUUUUCAUUCUCUUCUUCUUUUUACCUUUUUUUCUUUUUUCAAAGAAAUAUAGCAUAAAAAGUUGAUUGACUAAAUGUGUCAAUUUUUUUAUAUAAACUGGUAGGUAUGAAGCUACAUUUAUCAGUAAGAUCGUGGAGGAGAUCUUCGUCCCCGUACAACAAUGCACGCAUUUGAAGGUAGCCAAUUACCCAGUUGGAAUGGAGUCUUGUGUAGAAAAGGUGAAAGAGCUUUUAGGUGUCAGGGGAAAUGAUCCGUGUGUGGUUGGGAUUUGGGGGUCAUUUGGAAUCGGCAAGACAACAGUUGCAAAAGCUGUUUAUAAUGCAAUUGCUUAUGAGUUUGAAGGUAGUUGUUUCCUGGCAGAUGUUCGAGAAACGUCAAUACAAUACAGAGGCCUACUCCAACUACAAAACACUCUUCUGAGUGAGAUUGGUGGUUCAGAGUGGAAAGCUGUCAAUCUUCAUAGAGGAAACAUCCUUAUAAAGAAACUGUUGAGGGGAAAGAAGAUUCUCUUAAUUCUUGAUGAUGUGGAUGAUUUUGAGCAGUUAGACAACUUGGUUGAAGUCCAUCAGUUAGGUGAGGGUAGCAGAGUGAUCAUAACCACAAAAAAUAAAGGAUUGCUGGAAUCUUGUAAAGUUGAGCUGAUAUACAAGGUCCAAAAGUUAGAAGACAACAAAGCUAUUGAGCUUUUUAGUUGGAAUGCCUUCGGAAAAGAAAAACCUCCAGAUGAUUAUUUGGGACUCGCACGACGUGCAAUAGCCUAUGCUCAAGGCCUCCCGUUAGCUCUUAAUCUUAUAGGUUCUCAUCUGCGUGGUAAAAAUAUAGUUCGUUGGCAAGAUAUUUUGGAUAGUUACGAUGAAGAACCUCAUAGAGGGAUUCAAAGAGUACUUCGGAAAAGUUAUGAUACCUUGGAAUAUGUCCAACAACAACUUUUCCUAGACAUUGCAUGCUUCUUCAAGGGUGAAGAUAAAGACAAAGUGUUACAGAUAUUAAAAGGAUCAAAUCUCAAAGUACGUCAACAUUGUAUUGAUGUUCUCGUUGAGAAUGCCAUUAUAACUAUUGAACAUAAUAGGAUUUUGAUGCAUGACUUGCUAGAACAAAUGGGUAAGCAUAUAGUUUGGGAAGAAUCGCCCACUGAACCAGACAAGCGGAGCAGAUUGUGGCUUCCUAAAGAUGUGUACCGUGUUCUAACUGAAAACAGAGUAAGUAGAAUAUAUGUUCUUGCAUUUGAUUUAAUUGGCAUGAUUUUGGAAACACAAAAAAAAUUAAAAUCCUUUUGAUUUCUUUGUUAUAUGAUUUGUUUGUUAACACUAUUUAUUUUUCCAUCUUAGGGAACAAAGAAAAUUAAAGGCAUUGUGGUGAAGUUGCCCGUGCCAGAUGUGAUACCCUUGAAUACAAAAAGCUUUUCCAAGAUGGUAAAUCUUGAAUUUUUUAUAAUUCGUAAUGCACACUUUUCUGAAUGCGUUGAGGAUUUACCCGACGAUUUGAGGUGGAUUGAAUUCGGUGGGCUUCAUUACUGGGGAUCCAAUAUUCUUCAAAAGCAUAUACUUACAUUCAAUUUGCAAUCCAAUUGUCAUAUCAGAAAUCUUGUCACGUUUAUUAUGCCAAACAGUGACAUCAAACAAUUGAAGGUGUUUCAGGUAUGUAUACUUAUUAUAAAUGAAUUUGGACAAUUACUAAUUUAAUUGUAUAUUUUAUUUUUGGAAAAAGAAAUUUGCCAAAGCUUUUCAUUGUUAAUUAUUCUAUUUAAAGUUUGUGAUUUUUUUUUCUUUUGAUUUUGAUUUCACAGAUUUGGCAAUGCUUACAUCUUUGAAUUUAAGUGGUUCCCAAUUCUUAGAAAAAAUUCCCAACUUAUCCGGAAGUCCAAACCUAAAGAAGUUGAUUCUAAAUGAGUGUAACCGUUUAGUUGAAGUUGAUGAUUCUGUUGGAUUCCUUGAUAAACUUAAUAGAUUAAGUCUUAAUGGGUGCUCUAGGCUUGAGAGAUUUGCGACGAGACUUAGAUUGAGAUCCCUUCGUAGACUUACUCUUUAUGGUUGUACAAGGCUCAAGAGUUUCCCAGAAAUAGAGGCCGAGAUGGAAUCUCUAUAUGAUUUGGACAUAUCAAAAAGUGGCAUAAGAGAAUUGCCUUCAUCAAUUGCAUAUCUUACCGGGCUUAAAUUUUUGUCGGCAAGUUAUUGUGAGAACCUUACAGGUACAUCCUUACAUCACAGUUAUGGGUUGCAACAUCUCUACCGUAUUGAAAUGAUUAGAUGCCCAAAACUGGUGACAUUUGGGAAGUUUUCAACUCGCUUAGACACUUCACAUUACAACGGUAUCCCAUUAGCCAUUUUCAACGCAUGCAAGCUUUAUCUUGUUGAAUGCAAUUUAUCAGAAAGUGAUUUCCUUGUGCCUCUUCAAUAUGAACCAUCCAGUCUUCAUUGCUGGUCCACAUUAAUAGAACUUGGUCUGUCGGGAAACAAUUUUGUUAGUCUUCCGGAAUGCAUUAGCAAAUUUGUCAACUUGGAAAUACUUUGGUUGACUGGUUGCAAGAGGCUUCGGGAAAUUCCACAUGCCCUUCCACCAAAUCUAAGGGAAUUAUAUCUGAAUGAUUGCACAUCAUUGGAGAAAAUUCCAAAGUUGCCCUCGGGGCUUAGGUGUCUGCAGUUGACUAAUUGCUUUGGACUAAGUGGCGAUGAGGUGGCAAAGUUGGAAAAUAAUUUGUUGAACUGGAAUCAGGUUCGUCUCUCCUCUCUUAAUUUCUCUUGAAAUUAAAAUAUUUAAUUUGUUGAUACUUGGGAGGGAGAACAGAUCAUGAUUGUUUGUAGUUAUUUACGUAUUAUUCACUAUUGCAGGAAUUUCUUCGGUGCUCUCAAUUGCAAGUUACGUAUCCAGGCGAUGAAAUUCCAAAGCGGUUUAGCUAUACCUCUAAACAUCUAACAGCCACUAGGAUUGAAAGUGUAGGAAAAGGUACAAGGCAACAUGAUUAUGUUGGAGGUGGUGAAUUUAGUUUUGAAAUUUCUCUAAAUUUACAGGAGAGGGAGACGUUAUUAGGAUUGGCUCUAUCUUGUGUUUUUCCACCACAAUUGACUGGAGGGAUUUGUUAUUACUACAAUCUUCGUCUUUACAUCAACGAAGCAAGUGAUUAUCAACAAUUUAGGUGGAUAGUGGAAGGCAAGGAGGCUCAUGUGGGGCUAGUGUUAGUGGAUUUAGAGAACCAGGGAGAAAGCCCAUGUGGGGCUCAUGUUAGUGGAGAUAUUUGUAAAGUUAAAGUUCAAUAUCCCAACUACUCGAGCAUUAAAAGCUGCGGGGUGCAGCCCCUAUUGCGCAAAGGAGAUGAACGGCUUCCCUCGUCUUUGGAACCAACGAGUAGCCUUGGAUCCUCAGAUAUCGUCAAUGAUGAAUAUGAUCGGCAACAACAAUGGCCUUCCUUAUCUUUGAACCCAGCGGAUGAUCAUCCGACACACACACAGAUUGAUCACAAUGUUCCUUCUGAUAUUGAGGAGGAGCAAGAGCAACCGUCCACCAUUUCUGAUUUACUAGGAGUUUGGGUACGUACAUUUCAGUUUUAGCCAUUUUUUUAUUAUUCUUUAUUGUGAUAUCUUUUUUAAAUUAAUAUAAUAAUAAUUAAUUAAUUUAAAUUAAAUAAAGGAAAAAAUUUGAACAGUUUGCAAUCUGCAUAAUCAAAGAUUUCAUAUCUUUAGAAACAAAGAUUUCAUAUCUGCAGGUGGUUAGGCCAUCUCCAACCGAUAGCUGGUCAGAGGGUUCGUUUUAACCAUCUGGCCCUCCAAGAUUCUUCAAGAUAUUAAUAUUUUAAUGAACAGUACAUGACCAUAUUUGCCUCCGUCUCCAACCGAGGGUCAUAGGGCCAAACAUAAUUUAUUAUUUAAAAACUACAACUUAAAUUCAAAUCCAACGGCUAAGUGACAAAUUUAAUUUAAUGUUGUUUCAUGUUACUUAAUUUAAUUUAAUGUUGUAUAAUGGCUUAGGAAGUUAUAGGAAAAAAAUAGAAUUUAAAAAAAAUAUGAAACAAAUUUUGUGAAAUAGAAGUUAUAGAAAAAAAUGGAGUUUAAAAAAAAAUAUGAAACAAGUUUUGUGAAAUAAAAGUUAUAGGAAAAAAAAUAGAAUUUAAAAAAAAUAUGAAACAAAUUUUGUGAAAUAGAAGUUACAGGAAAAAAAUGGAAUUUAAAAAAAAUAUGAAAUAAAUUUUGUGAAAUAGAAGUUAAAGGAAAAAAUUGAAGUUGUAUGAAAUUUUUUGUGAAAUAGAAGUUAUAGGAAAAAAUAGAAGUUAUAGAAAGUUAUAGGAAAAAAUAGAAGUUAUAUGAAAAUUUUUGUAAAUAAAAAAUAAUAAUAAAAAUGUAAAAAAAAAUAUAUAUCAAAUGAAACCCAACGGCUAGCUGAGUCAGCUAGCCGUUAUAUUAAAAAAAAUUCCAAACUAUUAGUGUCGGUUAUAAUUGACACUAAUAGUAAAUAAAUAAAAAAAUUUGCCUAUGAAUACCUAUUACUGUCGGUUAUAACCCACAGUAUUAAAAAAUUCUUCUUUAAUGUUGUCGGUUAUAUCUGACAGCAAUAGGGAAACUAUAAAAAAAAAAAUAGCCAGCCCGGGGCUGGCUGGCCGAAAGCAGCCAGCCCUUUGGCCCUUUGAAAUUCCGUGGGGCCCUCCCAGAUUCCAGAGCCCUCGGUUGGAGACGGUUUUAGGGCUAUUUUCGGCCCUCUGGCCCUCUGGACCCUUCGGUUGGAGAUGGCCUUAGUUCUUAGAAAAACAGAAACCACAUUUGUGUCUUGAUGUACCUUUUACUGAUAAAAUCAAAUUCUAAUUAAUCAAAACAAACAAUUAUGGAAGGAAAAUAUACAAGGGGAAAUGAGAUUAUAAGUACAAAAUUCAAGAUUAAUUACCUAAAAACUUGGUUUUGUUCGUAUAAGUACAAAAUUUCUACACGAAGAUCAAAGAACUACAUCGUUUGGAUGAACAUGUAAACCACAUGCUUCUCUCUCUGUUAAUUAAGUUUACACGCAGAGAUGGAAGUCUUGUAGGACUACUGUUUAAUCAAGAGUCCCAGGUUUGCAACUAUUUUUUUAUUAGCAUUUACUUCUGCUUUUUUAAUUAAUGAAUAGGUGGAAAUUUGAUUCGGUGUUGAUUAUAAGAUUUAGUAGAAUUUUAAUAUCAAGAGGAGAUAACAAUGUAGAAAACAUAGCCCCUUGAAUCAACUUGAUUGAUCUCGACCCUCAUGAUCUCACGGGUCUCGGCCUGCUUCGGUUGUUUAAAUUUCUGGUGUAAGCCAAGAAAGUGAACUCAUUAAUGUUGCUGCUCUAGUUAGUCAGCCUGCUUUUUCUGACAAGCCUGCGGUCUCUUUAUGUUCCACCAUGGGAAGCUGGGAGUGAAGCGUGCAUUAGUUGUUGGAAUUGGACUUCAAAUUCUUCAACAGGUUUGGUAGAAAAAGUUAAAAGGAAAAUUUUAUUUAAAACCAUGUAACUUUUUUUCUACACUCCUCAGGUGUAUGAGCAGGCCCGCGUCGCCAUUCUUCUAUCUAACAUAGGGUUGAAUCCAACAUUUGCAUCUCUCUUCGUAAGUGCCAUUACAAUUGUCUUAAUGGAUAUAGCUGGCAGAAGAUAAUUUCGAACACCUUCGGUUUCCUAGAACCGAUUACUAACUUUUAAUCAAAAUUAUAACUAGGGUAAAUUAUCCAAACGAUAAAAUAAAGUUUAGUGUCACUCCAUUUCCAUUUUAGACUAAAAGUUUGUAACCGGUUCUAUCUAUAUGCAUAUUUGCAAAAAAUAAGCUUUCCUUUUUGCCUUUCUUGGUAUGCCGGUCGCUGCUGCUCUCCACAUUACAUUGUCCCUCACUCUUCUUGUAGUUGCCAACAUUGUCAACUUGGGAACUGUUCUGAAUGCAACAAUUUCCACCGCCGUGCCUGCUGCUUCGUCAUGGCAUUUGGAGUAACCCCGAACAUUCUCUGCGCUGAGAUCAUCCCUACGAGCAUCCACGACCUCUGCAUUGCCAUCUGAGCCCUCACAUUCUGGAUUGGAGACAUCAUCAUCACUUACGCAUUUCCUGUCAUGCUCUUCUCCGUUGGAUUUGCUGGCAUCUUGGGAAUCUAUGUUGUCCGGUGCAUUGUUCCUGGAUAUUUGUUUACUUGAAGGUGCCUGAAACUAAAGACAUGCCUCUUGAAGUUAGCUGCUGCUGAUGCAUCUGUUGGAUUCCAAUGAUAACUGAUUUGAUUGUUCAGAGGAUUUGAAAGUUUGGUUUGGCUUUAGACUGGGAUUACGAGGACAGGAUUUGAGUUGGAAAAAGUGCUGAUGACUGGAUUGCAUUUUUAGAAAGUGAUUUUGUAAUCAUCACUAUCCCUCACUUAAUUCUGCACCAGUAUCUUUGGUACCAAAAAAUCAAUUCUCUUGGGUCAUAAGCUCAUAAGUGACAUGUUUUGUUCGACUAUUUGCCUCACUUAAUAUUAAUUUGACCUGCCUACUUUAACUAUUUAUUUAUACAAAUAUUUGUACUAUCUUUCUAAUAGAGAUAAGACGUAUAUAUAUUUGCGAGCCGUACUUCUAUUAGAAAAAUUAUAUGUAAAUAGAUGAUAAAUGUAGCAUUACUAUUUUUAUAAUAUGUUUUAAAAUUUUGAAAAAAAAAAAAAAGGAACUGUUUUUAACUGCAGGCCUAAAGCAGAGCCCUGUUGCCGCCUAGCAAUAGAAAAGUCUUCACCAAAUUGAGUUAGAAGAAUUAGGGUUUUAGAGCUCCAAAGAUCCAAACUUUAUCAGUCUCUCCGAAAGUAAUUAGAGAAAUGGAAACCCAAUCAAAGGACGGAGACUCUCUGGAGAAGCGGCCCGGCAUCUUCUUCCUCGGCUCCCCCGGCGUCGUCGAACGCUCUCUCAUUUCCCGUAUGCUCUCUAUCUUUCUCUCUCCUUUGGUCGAUGCUAAAUUCAUGACCUCUUGAUUUCUAGGCUUACUGGAUUUGAAUUUUUGACGAUGCUUCUGAUUAUUCAUCGUCAUCUCAGCUGGUAGUUGAUGGGUAUGUAAAAUUUGAAUUUUGGGAUCAAAGAAUUCAACUCUUAGAAAUUUUGGGAACAAACAAUUCGUUUUGAAUUCUUUUGAAAUGUGUAUUUUGAUGAUUUUUGUUGUAAAGAAAUAGAUGGAAUAUCUCUACAAAUUACUACACAGCUGGUGUUUUGGUAUGGAUGGCUCAUCUCCAUGACGAAUUUUUUGCAGAGGCCCUCCCAAUGUAUGAGCAGUUGGCUGCCUUGAUCUUGGUUUUCGACACAACUGAGGUUUUGGUCUCUUGCCACUCACUCUUUGUCACUUUGUUUACUUGUUUAUCAUGAUUUUCAAUGUGUCUUAUAUCAAUUUGCUCUCAUUAUGCUGCAGUUGUCGUCUCUGUCUGCGCUUAAGAAAUGGGUAUCUCAAACUGAUCUUCAAAAGUUCGAUAUACUAGUAUGCGUAGGGAAUAAGGUUGAUCGUGUUCCGGGUCACCCGGUUCAUGCCGAAUAUAGAAGACGACUGCAGAAGCUUGGAGACCCGUUUGCUGAUGCCGGUCCAGGGUUCACUGCGUAGGGAAUCUCCGAGACUGAAGGAAGCAGGUUUAUUGGGGGAUGACGAACCAUUUUGGGAGGCAAGGCACACAUGUUUGGAAUGGUGCACUGAGCAUAACAUUGAGUUCGUCGAAGGUUGUGCUUCAAAUGCUGAUUUUGACAGAUGUAAGGUAGCCCUUCUUUCUGACUUGUAGUUUAUGGCAAGUUUUAUACGAACGUGAAAAAUAAAAAGUAUGCUGCUCGAGGGUAGAAACGUCGUGCAAUUAGGAUGAUUGAAGAUAGAUCGAAGGUAGCCCUUCUUUUUGGCUGUUCCGAUCACAUCCUUCUUGGGUAAACUAAAAGAGAAUUGACGGUAGAAAUGAAUGCACUUUGGUAUGUGUUGAAUCUUUAUCGAUCCCUCUUUUUUUAAUGUUUAACAAUUGAACUCAUUAAUAUUAAAAUAGAUAAAAAUGAUAAAAAGAGUACGAACAAAAAAAAUCUUAAAUGCUUUUGUUGCAGUCUUUCAAGUUAAUUGUGUAUUUUCAUGCAUUUUAACCUUUGUAUGUACAUAAUUGAUUUGUCAUACGGUCAUAGUAGCUUGACAUCGUUUAUGUGUCAUGGGGUGAAAAGAACAUGUGCUUCAAUAACAAACAAAAAAAAAAUGAAAAUUGUUUGAAAUUUUUGAGUUUUCAUGAUAAGGACAAAAUAAAGGAUAAAGUGAAUAGUAUCAAGAUUGACUUUUUAGUAUAAAUUAUUUUCUCAUUUGUGAUAGAAAAAAUCACCUUAAAUGACUCACCUUUCUUCAUGUAUGUGACAUUAUUUAUAUGGUUCAAAAUGACACAAACCGGAUAUAAAUAAUGUGGGGGUGUGGUUAAGGAAAAAAUGCAUUAUUACUUUGGUAACUUAGAAACCACCUAUUGUUGGUGAAACCAGAAUUUUCCUAACAUUUACUCACUGAUGUUAUCGUUUUGUAAAAAAAUAAAGAUAAACUCUGCACCUCCAUCCUUUUUUCAACGCACUGCAUAUUCCUCUGCUUUUCUCUUGUUUUUAUUUUUUUAUUUUUUUUCUCGUUACGAAAAUGAAAAUUAUCCAAAAAGAAUGGUAUUAGCUAUUCCCCAUCCUAAAUGGAAGCGUGAAGGGAUGAGAUAGGGAAUGGGACCCUGACAAAGACUGAUAAUAGUAUUAGUAAUUAGUCUUCGGUAGUUCAAAGACGACCGUGGAACCAAGUUUGAAUGCACACCUCCCUUUUUUUUUUAUUCUUGAAUUAAAAAAAUCAAAAAGGAAAAUUAAUAGGUUGAAAUAAAAAUAAAAAUUAAGUACAAAAGAAGGAAACGGUGUGAAGAAAGUCACUCUACAAUACGUAAUACUUUUGUUACAUUUUUGAAAGUCAAUUGCAUGUUGCCGUGCAUUUUAAUUUUUGAGUAUAGAAUACUUGAUAUAUUGUCAAUUAAUCAUCUGUAUUUUGUCAAUUAGUGUUUGGAGCCUAUGGAUCCUUUAAUUUGAGACGUACAAAUUGAAUUCAACCGUCUUCAUUAAUUCAUUUUCCUGACCCAUCGCACACAACUAACGGUCUUGAUUUGAUUUGCACAUCAAUCAACGGUCCAAAUUAAAGGAUCUAUAGGCUCCAGACAUUAACAUCCAAAACGGAUCCAAUUCCUAAAAAAAUUGAUCGCGUACCAAACUCCCACAAAGAGGAUCCGGAUCCUCUUCCUAUCAUGUUGAUAUCGUGGAGCAAAAGGUAAUAGUCAGCAAACGAAGUUGAUAGGAUAGGGGUACUGUGAUUGAUACAAGUGAAGACGACGAGGGAUAAAGUGAUACUUUCGUGCUAGUUCCGAGGACAUUUUGGUAACUAAGCCUUUAUAUUUACUACUCGAUUUGAUUUAUAAUUAAUACUCUUUUUGGGUGUCGUAUCGUUCUCUCUCUCAAACACUAAUUACAAUUUGCAGCUCGUAGCUGAAAUGGGGUCCCUUUUUUCUUUAUAUGCAAUUGUAUUUCAUUACUUCUCUUGUAUUUUUCCUCAGCACUGAAAAAAAAAAGGGAAAAUUGUUUUCAUACAAAAAUUGUCCGAAAGGAAUCGUUUUAGCUGUUCCCAUCUGUCUAAUAUAAAAGUCCUAACAAAGACUGACAAUAGUAACCUGGGGCUGGUAAAAAAAAGUUGUGUCAAAAUCGCUACCCAGAAAAUUGUCCGGAAGGAAUCUUUUUAUCACGUUCACAUUGAAGGUGGUAGGAAACUGCUGCUUCCUACAUGGGCAGAAAAUCAUGCGAAAGGCCUGAUAUAUACGACAAGAGCGAAUUCUUGGUGCGAGUACCAGUCCAGCAUCCAUACUCAAUUCUUUGAAAGGCUCUUCCAUUUACCUGGAUUUCUCCAAUGAACAAUCAACUUGUCUCUUCUUCUUCCUUCAGCAGUCCUCCUUCGUGGGAGUACGAUGUCUUUUUGAGCUUUAGAGGAGAGGAUACACGAACCAAUUUUACAGAUCACUUUUACAAGGCGUUGGACGACAAGGCAAUCACCACGUUCAUUGAUCACCAGCUUAAAAGAGGAGAAGAAAUAUUUCCGGCUCUUCUCGAAGCAAUUGAAGAGUCGAGAAUUUCGAUCAUUGUAUUCUCUGAAAACUAUGCAUCGUCAAGAUGGUGCUUGGAUGAGCUUGUACAUAUCCUUGAAUGUAGAAAGUCAAGGAAGCAAAUUGUUUUGCCAGUUUUUUACAAAGUGGAUCCGUCCGAUGUACGAAAGCAAACGAGUAGUUUUGGUGACGCGUUUACAGAAAAGUUCAAAUUUGAAGACAACAAGGAGAAGAUCCUCACAUGGAGGAGUGCUCUUACAGAUGCAGCAAGUUUGUCAGGAUAUACUUUCAAAGAGGGAGAGUACGUAUAUUUCUUUCCCUUAUACUGCCUUUAAUCUGAAAAGAUGAUUUCAUCUGAAAUUCAAUUUUCUUUACGUAAAACCCAACCUAGUUUUUGUGCUUGACUAAUUAAGCUUAACAAGUUAGAUUUUAUAUCUUUCGGUUUCCUAAAAUACCCCUAAUAACAAUUUGAUUCUCUUGCAUAUUUAUAUCCAUUUAUUGUGUUAAACCUAUUGCAAGUUAAAUGGUCAUUAUUAAUUGUGUUAAAUUUCGAAUUGGCUGGAUUAAUUACCCGAGUGUACCCAUUUUUUGUUGUUCAAAUUUUAAAUUUAUUAAUAUUUUUUGGUUUCCUAAUUUUGUUUGAAAAAUCAAUUUACCUACGUUUUUGAAAAAUUAAUUUACAUAUUACUUAUUUUGAUUAAUAAUGUACCUGUGGUGUUGUUUAUAAUUUACCGAUUACUAAUGAUGUUAGGUAAAUUAGUACUUUUAUGAAAGAAAUGAUACAUAUCCAUCCAAAACAUCUUUUUUCAUCCGAACAACAACAUAACAUUUAAAUGCAAAAAAAAGGUCCAUGUCUUAUUAUUAUUAUUUUAACAAAAGGAAAUAAAAAACAGUCAAUGUCCUAAGUAUGGAAAGAUGUUAGGAUUUUACAGAGUAAUAAACGGCAAUGUGAAAUUGUGAAUAAUGAAAUAGGGGUAAAUCAUUUUUAUUAAUGGGUCAAUUAUUAUCUUACAUGAUUCUGUAUUUAGUUGCAAGCGGCUCAUGCUUGACUGCAUCAGUGAUUAUCCAUACCUCUGUUUUUUUUCAAUCUUUUUUAUCUAUUCAUUCUCUUCUUCUUUUUACCUUUUUUUCUUUUUUCAAAGAAAUAUAGCAGAAAAAGUUGAUUAGCUAAAUGUGUCAAUUUUGUUAUAUAAACUGGUAGGUAUGAAGCUACAUUUAUCAGUAAGAUCGUGGAGGAGAUCUUCGUCCCCGUACAACAAUGCACGCAUUUGAAGGUAGCCAAUUACCCAGUUGGAAUGGAGUCUUGUGUAGAAAAGGUGAAAGAGCUUUUAGGUGUCAGUGGAAAUGAUCCGUGUGUGGUUGGGAUUUGGGGGUCAUCUGGAAUCGGCAAGACAACAGUUGCAAAAGCUGUUUAUAAUGCAAUUGCUUAUGAGUUUGAAGGUAGUUGUUUCCUGGCAGAUGUUCGAGAAACGUCAAUACAAUACGGAGGCCUACUCCAACUACAAAACACUCUUCUGAGUGAGAUUGGUGGUUCAGAGUGGAAAGCUGUCAAUCUUCAUAGAGGAAACAUUCUUAUAAAGAAACUGUUGAGGGGAAAGAAGAUUCUCUUAAUUCUUGAUGAUGUGGAUGAUUUUGAGCAGUUAGACAACUUGGUUGAAGUCCAUCAGUUAGGUGAGGGUAGCAGAGUGAUCAUAACCACAAAAAAUAAAGGAUUGCUAGAAUCUUGUAAAGUUGAGCUGAUAUACAAGGUCCAAAAGUUAGAAGACAACAAAGCUAUUGAGCUUUUUAGUUGGAAUGCCUUCGGAAAAGAAAAACCUCCAGAUGUUUAUUUGGGACUCGCACGACGUGCAAUAGCCUAUGCUCAAGGCCUCCCGUUAGCUCUUAAUCUUAUAGGUUCUCAUUUGCGUGGUAAAAAUAUAGUUCGUUGGCAAGAUAUUUUGGAUAGUUACAAUGAAGAACCUCAUAGAGGGAUUCAAAGAGUACUUCGGAAAAGUUAUGAUACCUUGGAAUAUGUCCAACAACAACUUUUCCUAGACAUUGCAUGCUUCUUCAAGGGUGAAGUUAAAGACAAAGUGUUACAGAUAUUAAAAGGAUCAAACCUCAAAGUACGUCAACAUUGUAUUGAUGUUCUCGUUGAGAAUGCCAUUAUAACUAUUGAAGAUAAUAGGAUUUUGAUGCAUGACUUGCUAGAACAAAUGGGUAAGCAUAUAGUUUGGGAAGAAUCGCCCACUGAACCAGGCGAGCGGAGCAGAUUGUGGCUUCCUAAAGAUGUGUACCGUGUUCUAACUAAAAACAGAGUAAGUAGAAUAUAUGUUCUUGCAUUUGAUUUAAUUGGCAUGAUUUUGGAAACACAAAAAAAAUUAAAAUCCUUUUGAUUUCUUUGUUAUAUGAUUUGUUUGUUAACACUAUUUAUUUUUCCAUCUUAGGGAACAAAGAAAAUUAAAGGCAUUGUGGUGAAGUUGCCCGUGCCAGAUGUGAUACCCUUGAAUACAAAAAGCUUUUCCAAGAUGGUAAAUCUUGAAAUUUUUAUAAUUCGUAAUGCACACUUUUCUGGAUGCGUUGAGUAUUUACCCGACGAUUUGAGGUGGAUUGAAUUCGGUGGGCUUCAUUACUGGAGAUCCAAUAUUCUUCAAAAGCAUAUACUUACAUUCAAUUUGCAAUCCAAUUGUCAUCUAAGGAAUUUUGUCACGUUUAUUAUGCCAAACAGUGACAUCAGACAAUUGAAGGUAUUUCAGGUAUGUAUAUGUAUUAUAAAUUAAUUUGGACAAUUACUAAUUUAAUUGUAUAUCUUAUUUUUGGAAAACGAAAUUUGCCAAAGCUUUUCAUCAUUAAUUAUUCUAUUUAAAGUUUGUGAUUUUUGUUUCAUUUGAUUUUGAUUUCACAGAAUUUGGCAAACCUUACAUCUUUGAAUUUAAGUGGUUCCGAAUUCUUAGAAAAAAUUCCCAACUUAUCCGGAAGUCCAAACCUAAGGGAGUUGAUUCUAGAUGAGUGUAAACGUUUAGUUGAAGUUGAUGAUUCUGUUGGAUUCCUUGAUAAACUUGUUACAUUAAGUCUUGUUGGGUGCUCUAGGCUUGAGAGAUUUGCGAGGAGACUUAGAUUGAGAUCCCUUCAAAGACUUUAUUUUGGUGGUUGUACAAGGCUCAAGAGUUUCCCAGAAAUAGAGGUCGAGAUGGAAUCCCUACGGGUUUUGAACAUAACAAAAAGUGGCAUAAGAGAAUUGCCUUCAUCAAUUGCAUAUCUUACUGGGCUUAAGCACUUGUGGGCAAUGGGUUGUGAGAACCUUACAGGUACAUCAUUACAUCACAUUUAUGGGUUGCAACGUCUCCAUUAUAUUGAAAUGAGUCGAUGCCCAAAACUGGUGACAUUUGGGAAGUUUUCAACUUGCUUAGAUACUUCACAUGACAACGGUAUCCCAUUAGCCCUUCCCAACGUAGGCUAUCUUUUUCUUAAUGGAUGCAAUUUAUCAGAAAGUGAUUUCCACGUGCCUUUUCAUUGCUUGUCCAAAUCAAUAAGAGUUUAUAUGGGGGGAAACAAUUUUGUUAGUCUACCUGAAUGCAUUAGCAAAUUUGUUAACUUGGAAGCACUUUGUUUGACUGGUUGCAAGAGGCUUCGGGAAAUUCCACAUGCCCUUCCACCAAAUCUAAGAGAUUUAUAUCUGGAUUAUUGCACAUCAUUGGAGAAAAUUCCAAAGUUGCCCUCGAGGCUUAGGUGUCUGGAGUUGACUAAUUGCUUUAGAAUAAGUGGUGAUGAGGUGGCAAAGUUGGAAAAUAAUUUGUUGAACUUGAAUCAGGUUCGUCUCUCCCCUCUUAAUUUCUCUUGAAAUUAAAAUAUAUAAUUUGUUGAUACUUGGGAGGGAGAACAGAUCACGAUUGUUUGUAAUUAGUUAUUUACAUAUUAUUCACUAUUGCAGGAAUCUCAUCGGUGCUCUCAAUUGCAAGUUACAUAUCCAGGCGAUGAAAUUCCAAAACGGUUCAGCUAUACCUCUAAACAUCUAACAGCCACUAGGAUUGAAGGUGGAAUAUAUAAUGCAUGGCAACAAGCAUAUGUUGGAGGUAGUGAAUUUAGUUUUGAAAUUCCUCUAAAUUUACAGGAGAGGGAGAUGUUAUUAGGAUUGGCUCUAUCUUGUGUUUUUCCACCACUGCCUUUAUCAGAAUUGGGAUAUCGUUACGUUAUUCGUAUUCUCAUCAACAAAGCAAGUGAUUAUAAAGAAUUUGAGUUGGAUGGGAAAUUCAUGGAGAAAGCUCAUGUGGGGCUCAUGUUAGUGGAUUUAGAAAAGAAGCAGGGAGAUAUUUGUAAAGUUAAAAUUCAAUUCCCCGAAGGGGCAGGCAUUAAAAUCUGCGGGGUGCACCCCUUAUUCCGCAAAGAAGAUGAACGACUUCCCUUGUCUUUGGGACCAACGAGUAGUCUUGGAUCCUCAGAUAUCAUCGAUGAUGAAUAUGAUUGGCAACAACAAUGGCCUUCCUUAUCUUCGAACCCAGCGGAUGAUCAUCCCAAACGCACGCAAAUUGAUCACAAUGUUCUUUCUGAUAUUGAGGAGGAGCAAGAGCAACCGUCCAUAGUUUCUUGGGUACGUACAUUUCAGUUUUAGCGAUUUUUUUAUUAUUCUUUAUUGUGAUAUCUUUUUUAAAUUAAUAUAAUAAAAAUUAAUUAAUUUAAAUUAAAUACAGGAAAAAAUUUGAACAAUUUUCAAUCUGCAUAAUCAAUGAUUUCAUAUCUUUAGAAACAAAGAUUUCAUAUCUGUAGGUGGUUAGGCCAUCUCCAAUCGGGUCCAGAGAAUCAGAAGGCCGAAAAUAACCCGAAAACCAUCUCUAAUCGAGGACUAGGCCAGAGGGCCAACCAGCUGGCCAUCUUCAACCAGCCAACCAGCCCACUUGCUAGCCCAUUUUGUCUUCUUUUUUUUGUUUUUUCAGCCCACUUUAGGUUUAAGGAUUAGGAAUUUUUUUUGUCCCAGUUCCUUUUUUUUUUUUUUAACAUCCCAAUUUUUUUUGGACGAUUUUUUUGUUUAAAUUUCUAAUUUUUUUCCUACACCAUUUCUCACAUAUUUUUCAUCAUUCCAUACUAUCUUAUCUUAUUUUAUUUUAAUUCUUCACAUUCCAUACUAUAGCCCUUUGGCCCUUGGUUGGAGAUGGUUUUUUUGUGACAUGACUAAAACGAGCUCUCUGGUCCUUUGGCCUCUGGUUGGAGAUGAAGGCAAAUAUGGUCAUGUACUGUUCAUUAAAAUAUUAAUAUCUUGGAAGGCCAGAGGGCUAAAACGAGCCCUCUGGCCAACCUUCGGUUGGAGAUGACCUUAGUUAUUAGAAAAACAUAAACCACAUUUGUAUCUUGAAGUACCUUUCACUGAUAAAAUCAAAUUCUAAUUAAUCAAAACAAACAAUUAUGGAAGGAAAAUAUACAAGGAGAAAUGAGAUUCUAAGUACAAAAUUCAAGAUUAAUUACCUAAAAACUUGGUUUUGUUCAUAUAAGUACAAAAUUUCUACACGAAGAUCAAAGAACUACAUUGUUUGGAUGAACAUGUAAACCACAUGCUUCUCUCUCUGUUAAUCAAGUUUACACGCAGAGAUGGAAGACUUGUAGGACUACUGUUUAAUCAAGAGUCAAGGUUUGCAACUAUUUUUUUAUUAGCAUUUACUUCUGCUUUUUCAAUGAAUGAAUAGGUGGAAAAUUUGAUUUGGUGUUGAUUAAUAAGAUUUAGUAGAAUUUUAAUAUCAAGAGGAGAUAACAAUGUAAAAAACAUAGCCGCUUGAAUCAACUUGAUUGAUCUCGACCCUCAUAAUCUCACAGGUCUCGGCCUGCGUCGGUUGUUUAAAUUUCUGGUGUAAGCCAAGAAAGUGAACUCAUUAUACUGCUGCUCUAGUUACUAGUUAGUCAGCCUACUGUUUCUGCCAAGGAACCGAUAAGUCUGCGCUCUCUUUGUGUUCCACCAUCGGAAGCUGGGAGUGAAGCGUGCUGCGUGCAUUAGUUGUUGGAAUUGGACUUCAAAUUCUUCAACAGGUUUGGUAGAAAAAGUUAAAAAGGGAAAUUUUAUUUAAACCCAUGUAACUUUUUUUCUGCACUCCUCAGGUGUAUGAGCAGGCCGGCGUCGCCGUUCUUCUAUCUAACAUAGGGUUGAAUCCGACAUCUGCUUCUCUCUUCGUAAGUGUCAUUACAACUUUCUUAAUGGAUAUAACUGGCAGAAGAUAAUUUCGAACACAUUCGGUUUCCUAGAACCAAUUACUAACUUUUAAUCAAAAUUAUAAUUAGGGUACACUAUACAAACGAUAAAUUACAGUUUAGUGUCCCUUAUGGUUUAUUUAGUGUCCCUCCAGUUUCAAUUUAGACUAAAAAUUUGUAACCGAUUUUAUCUGCAUAUUUGCGGAAAAUAAGCUUUCCUUUUUGCCUUUCUUGGUAUGCAGGUCGCUGCUGCUCUCCACAUUAUAUUGUCCCUCACUCUUCUUGUAGUUGCCAACAUUGUCAACUUGGGAACUGUUCUGAAUGCAACAAUCUCCACCGCCGUGCUUGCUGCUUUGUCAUGGCAUUUGGAGUAACCCCGAACAUUCUCUGCGCAUAGAUCAUCCCAACGAGCAUCGGAGCAUCCACGGCCUCUGCAUUGCCAUCUGUGCCCUCACAUUCUGGAUUGGAGACAUCAUCAUCACUUACGCAUUUCCUGUCAUGCUCUCCUCCGUUGGAUUUGCUGGCAUCUUGGGAAUCUAUGUUGUCGGGUGCAUCGUUCCUGGAUAUUUGUUUACUUGAAGGUGCCUGAAACUAAAGGCAUGCCUCUUGAAGUUAGCUGCUGCUGAUGCAUGUGUUGGAUUCCAAUGAUGACUGAUUUGAUUGUUUAGGGGGUUUGAAAGUUUGGUUUGGCUUUAGAGCAUCUCUAAAGGAGAUGUCAAAAGAUAAAUUUUAAAUGUUAAUUUGAUGGUUGACGUGACAAUGUCAGAUUUUCUCUACUUCCCACCGAUAUGUUUUUUUGUUAUAAAUGAUGUUUGUAGGACCCAUAUUAAAAAAAAUCAAUUAAAAUAUAUUUCGAAGAUCUAUAAUUGGUGCAUUAAUGGGAUCCACAUAAUAAAAUAAUAAAAAAUGAUUUGACAUCACAUUUUCUCAUAUGUUAAAUUUGACAUAGGAAAACUCAUAUGUCAAUCCACAUAAGAUUGAUAUAUAGGUUGGAGCUUACUUUUACUUCAAGUUUGAUUACAUGAUAUUUCACUUAAGAUUUGACAUCUCAUUUGGAGAUAGUCUUAGACUGAGAUUAUGAGGACAUGAUUUGAGUUGGAAAAAGUGCUGAUGACUGGAUUGCAUUUUUAGAAAGUGAUUUUGUAAUCAUCACUAUCCCUCAGGUAUCGUUUGGUAUGCAGACAGGACGGAACGGAAUAGGACUAGACGGGACAGGACGGGAUGGAACAAAGAGGGAGCAAAGAUGUCAUUGGAUGGAAACAAUGAGGAAGAAGAAGGAGACAGAGAGGUUAUAAUUUUGUGUUCCACAGAUGUGGGACGAGUUGUUCCAUGGGAUGAGGCGGAACGAAAAUUCACCCAAAAUUCGUCCCGUGGAACAACGCGUUCCACCCGUUUUAGGCGCACCAAACGUGGGACGGAACGCUUCGUUCCACUCCGUUCCGUCCUGUCCUACGUACCAAACGGUACCUCACUUAAUGUUGCAGAAGUAUAUUUGGUACCAAAAAAUCAAUUAUUUUGGGUCAUAAGAUCAUAAGUGACAUGUUUUGUUUGACUAUUUGCACCACUUCUUAUAAACUUGAAAUACCCCUUUAAGCAUAUUCCAAAAUACUGAUUGAAGUUUUAAAAAAGUCUACCACCCUUGGAUUUCCAAAUGAUUUUUAUCAAUAUGUUUGGUAGUUGCACUUAUCUUUUCCUGUUCAAGUAGACAUAUUUUGAUACGAAUAUUGUUAGAGACGCUCUUACUAAUUAUGAUGAUCAUAUACCAAAUAACUCAAUAUAGAUCAUGAAAGUUCUUACUGAAGUACAGUCUAAUUUUUGUUAGUUGUGAAACUAAUCAAAAUCAAAUUACUUUUCUGACAUAUUUUUUUACAAAUUCGUGUCUAAUACAAAUUCGUGUUUACAAGCCGUACAUCUAUUAGAAAAAUUAUAUACAAAUAUAUGAUAAAUGUAACACUAUUAUUUUUAUAAUAUUUUUUUAAAAUUUUGAAGAACGAAAAUAAAAGAAAAGAAAAGAAACUGUUUUUAACUGCAGGUCUAAGGCAGAGCCCUGUUGCCGCUUAGCAAUAAAAAAGACUGCUGAGAAGGUCAGUCAUCGUCUUCAGCCUUCACCAAAUUGAGUUAGAAGAAUUAGGGUUUUAGAGCUGCAAAGAUCCAAACUUUAUCAGUCUCUCCGAAAGUAAUUAGAGAAAUGGAAACCCAAUCGAAGGACGGAGGACUCUCUGGAGAAGCGGCCCGGCAUCUUCUUCCCUCGGCUCCCCCAGCGUCGGCUAACGCUCUCUCAUUUCCCGUAAGCUCUCUCUCUCUCUCUUUCUCUCUCCUUUGACUGAUACUAAAUUCAUGACCUAUUGAUUUGUAGGAUUACUAGGUUUGGAUUUAGACGAUGCUUCUGAUUCUUCAUCGUCAUCUCAGCUGGUAGUUGAUGGGUAUAUAAAAUUUUGAAUUUUGGGAUCAAAGAAUUCAACUCUUAGGAAUUUUGGGAACAAACAAUUCGUUUUGAAUUCUUUUGAAAUGUGAAUUUUGAUGAUUUUUGUGGUGAAAAAAAAAGAAAGAUGGAAUAUCUCUACAAAGUACUACACAGCUGGUGUUUCAGUAUGGAUGGCUCAUCACCAUGACGAAUUUUUGAUAGUCCCUCCCAACGUAUGAGCAGUUGGCUGCCUUAAUAUUGGUUUUCAACACAACUGAGUUUCGGUCUCUUGCCACUCACUCUUUGUCCCUUUGUUUACUUGUUUAGCAUGAUUUUCAAUGUGUCUUAUAUCAAUUUGCUCGCGUUAUGCUGCAGUUGUCGUCUCUGUCUGCGCUUCAGAAAUGGGUAUCUCAAACUGAUCUUCAAAAGUUCGAUAGACUAGUGUGCAUAGGGAAUAAGGUUGAUCUUGUUCCGGGUCACCCAGUUCAUACCGAAUAUAGAAGACGACUGCAGAAGCUUGGAGACCCAUUUGCUGAUGACGGUCCAGGGUUCACUGCGUAUGGAAUCUCCGAGACUGAAGGAAGCAGUUUAUUGGGGGAUGAUGAGCCAUAUUGGGAGGCUAGGCACACAUGUUUGGAAUGGUGCAAUGAGCAUAACAUUGAGUUUGUUGAAGCUUGUGCUUCAAAUGCUGAUUUUGACAAAUGUAAGGUAGCCCUUCUUUCUGACUUCUUGUUUAUGGCAAGUUUUAUACGAAGGUGAAAAAUAAAAAGUACCCUGUUCGAAGGUAGAAACGUCGUGCAAUUAGGAUGAUUGAAGAUAGUUCGUCACUCAGGAUUUGAUGAAUUUUUACCCAUUGGGACAUUUGAAGGUGUAGGAAACUUUAUUUCAGGGUCUAUUUCACAAGGUAAAGGAUGACCACAAUCAACAAUUUUUAAGGACAUGCCUUUGUAUCAUGAGUCCUUGUACGCUGGAGAAGUCUAGGGAGAAGUAGGACCUUCACGUCGUGUAUGCCUGAAUAGGACAUGGCAGACUAUUACCUAAGUUCAUGUGUCGGCUUCAAUAUUAGAAAGAGUUGGUUAGCCUGAGAAAAUGAAUAAAAGUGAUAUCGUGAUAAAUCAGCACGUCGAUCGUACGGCACACAAAUUUCCUGCUUUGUUGGAUAUCUUUUAAGUUUAAGGUACUGUUUUACAGGUUUGUCAGUUGAUGGCGACUCGCAAGGUAUUGAAUGACUUUUUGGUGCUCUUUCCGCACAUAUGUGGCCUGGAAUGAUUCUGAAAUCAGGCGAUAAGAUUGCUGAACCGUCAUUACCUGAAAGAGGAGUAGGUUUUAUACUAUGCCGCUUAUAUUUGGUUUAUAAUAUAUAUUUUACUAUUAAGUAGGAUUCUAAAUGUCUGAAUCUUGAAUCCUUUGUGCUAGACUUGUCAGAUAAAGAAUCUGAUUAUGAAUUUGAGUAUGAAGUCCUCUCUGCAGGUUCAGCUGAUCCAUUUGAUGACACGGAAGAAUGGGUUUCUGCAAAUGGUUUUGCUGGACCUUCAGAUAUGCGAGGACUGGCUGCUCAAAGUAAUCUUGUCCUAGAAUGCAAACAAGAGAAUGGACCCAGUUCUAAUAAGGAGGUUCCCCAUGCCUCGAACUUGACAGCCGCGUUGGAUGAUAGUAUUAGCAAAGGAGUAUCCAGUGCAGAAGAACCUGAACAGGACACAGACCAUGACCAAGCCCCAGAACCGGAUGAGGGUACGAAUUUUGAAUUUGAAGAUUUGGAACAGUUGAUGUCUGAGAUUGGGAACAUGCGCGACAGUUCAAGAUUGCUGCCGGAUUGUCAGAGAAGAGAUAUGGCUGCAAAGCUGGCCAUGAAAAUGGCUACCAUGUUUGGGGGUGGCAGUGAUGGUGAAGUGGAAAGUAUCGGCGAGUAAAGGCCAUGAGUAUCUAAGAGAGAUGUGAGUGUUAUGAGAGUUAUGAAAUAUUCUGUUUCAUUGAAUUUAUGAGGCUUUACAACUGUGUAUAUAUAUAUAUCUGCUAAUCAUAAUUAGCACCUAAUCAAGUAUAACUAAUUACACUAAGAUAACUAUUAGUUACACUAAGCAUAACAGAAACUGUUAUGAUGUCCUGGAAUAUGUGUCAAUACACCCCCUCAAGCAGACAGGAGGUAAUCCGAGGGAAAGCUUGGACUGCAAAGCACUGAACCGAGCUUUAGAAAGAGCCUUUGUAUGAAUAUCGGCAAUUUGAUGUUGAGUAGGCACAUACUUGACAUGAAGAAGAUGGGAUAGGACCAACUCCCGAAUAUAGUGAUAAUCUAUUUCAACAUGUUUGGUGCGAGCAUGAAAAACUGGAUUCGAUGAGAGAGAGAUGGCAGAAACAUUGUCACACCAAACAACAGGAACUUUGGAUAAAGGAAAACCAAUGUCUCUGAAAAUCUUACAAAUCCAUGUAAUUUCUGCUGCAGUAUGUGCUAGAGAACGAUAUUCAGCUUCUGUGGAAGAGCGAGCAACUGUGCUUUGCUUCUUUGCACUCCAACUGAUAAGAUUGCUGCCCAAAUACACAGUAGCCACUGGUUGAACGCCGGUCAUAAACACAGCCAGCCCAGUCAGCAUCAGAGAAAGCAGUGAGAUGUAGAGCACUCUUUCGAAACCAUAAUCCUUGAGUCACAGAACCCUUAAGAAAUCUGAGGAUCCUUUUGACAGCUUGAUAAUGCAGAUCUCGUGGACAAUGAAGGAAUUGGCAGACUUGAUUAACUGCAAAGGAUAAGUCGGGCCGUGUCCAGGUCAAAUACUGAAGAGCACCAACAAUAGACCUGUAUUCAUGAGGAUCAGAUAAAGGGGAGCCAACAUGAUCUAAUUUCUGACUGCCAAGUGGUGUUGAGCACGGUUUGCAGCCUUCCAUCUUUGCUUUGAGUAAUAAAUCAAGCGCAUAUUUCCCUUGAGAAAGAAAAAUACCCUCUGAAGAUCUGUGGACUUCCAGGCCUAAGAAGUAAUGAAGAGGACCUAAGUCCUUAACUGGAAACAGUGCACCAAGUUGAGUGAUAAUAUCCUUGCAGACUGAAGGAUUGGGACCCGUGACCAAUAUAUCAUCCACAUAAACCAAAAUUAUCACCAAGGCAGGAGAGAAGGUAACAAAGAGGGAACAAUCAGAUUGUGAGUUAGAGAAGCCAAGGGAUAACAGUGCAUGAAACAGUUUGUCAUACCAAGCUCUAGGAGCUUGCUUAAGCCCAUAGAGUGAUUUGUUUAACUUGCAAACAUACGUAGACUUAGAAGAGUCAAUAAAGCCUGGAGGUUGCUGCAUGAAUACUUCUUCUUUGAGGGAACCAUGAAGAAAAGCAUUGCUAAUGUCCAGUUGAUUCAAGAACCAGUCAAACUGAACAGCCAAUGUGAGCAAGAUCCGAAUGGUCACUGGCUUUGCAACAGGGCUAAAUGUGUCCGUAAAAUCCACACCUUCUUGUUGAUGGAAGCCUUUGGCCACUAAUCGAGCCUUGUAUCUGUCCACAGAGCCAUCAGGAUUCCUCUUUAUUCUAAAAACCCAUUUACAACCAAUUAAAUUCUGAUGGGGAGAAGAGGGAACAAGAGUCCAUGUACCAGUAGAUUGGAGAGCUUGAAAUUCCUCUAACAUAGCUUGUUUCCAAGGAGCAUGCUUAGAGGCUUGGGAAUAUGUAGUAGGAACAAAUUGAGCAAGGUCAACAGGAUGUUUGGUUGCUGUUAAAGCCUUUGGUUUAAAUAUGCCAGCUUUGGAUCUAGUUAUCAUUGGGUGAUUAUUGUGGGGAGGUGAAGGGGGUAAUGAUGGAGAAAUCAAAGGAGAGGCAAGAGGUAAAGAAGAGGAUAUAUGAGAAGGUACAGUGGGUGGAGAAACUGAGGAAGAGGCAAGUGGUGAAGAAGAGGAUAUAUGAGAAGGUGCAGGAGGGGCAGUACUAGAUGAAGUAAUGGGAAAGGGUAAAAGAAAGGUUGAAUCUGGAACAGGAAAGGAGGAUUGGGUAGAGGAUGGAAGAGGCUUGUGCUGAAAUGGAAAAUUACUCUCAUUAAACAAGACAUGUCUGGAAAUAUAGACCCGAGAUGUGUGCAUAUCUAAACACCUAUACCCCUUAUGCUGCAGGCUAUAGCCAAGAAAGGCACAUGGUGUACUUUUGCCAUCAAGCUUAGAAGAAACAUAAGGUUUAAGCCAAGGAUAGCAACUGCAUCCAAAAACCUUUAACCGUGAGUAAUCUGGUGGUUUGUGAAAAAGAAGCUCCCAUGGUGAUUUAUCCAAACCAGAAAUUGGCAAUCUGUUAACUAGAUAAACUGUAGUGGAGAAAGCUUCAACCCAAAAUUUGUGAGGAACUUUAGAAGCAGCAAGCAUUGUUCGAGUGGUCUCAGUUAAAUGCCGAUGUUUCCUCUCAACACACCCAUUUUGCUCUGGGGUGUGAGGACAGCUGAACUGAUGCAAAAUACCAUGUUGGAGAAGAAAAGAACGAAACUGAGAACUUGUAAACUCACCCCCUGAAUCAGACCGUAAAGUCUUGAUUUUGUUUCCAGUCAAGGUCUCAACAUAAGAUUUAAAAUGCACAAAUAUGGAGAAGACCUCAGAUUUGAACUUCAAAGGAAAUAGCCAACUGUAUUUGGUAAACUCAUCAACAAACAGUACAUAGAAUUUAUAUCCACUGACAGAGGAGAUAGGAGCAGGGCCCCAAACAUCACAAUGAACAAGUUCUAAACUGUGAGUAGUACUGCUAGUGCUUACAGAAAAUGGCAACUUAUGAUUUUUACCAAUUGCACAAUCUUGACAAAAGAAAGAUACAGAUGGUUUGCCAGUGUAAGCAAGCUUAUUUCUACUUAAGAUCUUCCGGAAGAUUGCAGAAGAGGGAUGUCCAAGCCGCUUAUGCCAAAGUUGUAAGGAAGCUGGAGUACUAAUAUUAGCAUAGGAUGAGGUAGAAACUGGAGCACAAACAGAAGCAGGUGAAGUACCUUGCACAGGAUAAAAGCCAGAGCUAACUGGCCCCUGAAAAAGCAUCCUCCCCGUAGAACGGUCCUUGAUUGUAGAACCAUCAGAAUCAAGGAUUAAUUGACAGUAAUUAUCCUUUAAAAAUUGAUAUGCAGAGAGGAGAUUAAACUUCAUAUGAGGAACAUGGAGAACAUUGUUCAACUUAAAUGCGGCAGAUGGAGUGUUAAGAACAGAAGUACCAGUGUGGUGAAUGGGCAUACCUUGACCAUCACCAAUAUAGACUUUGUCGUCACCAUGAUAAGGCAUAGGAGAAUGAAUAGCAGAGAUAUCAUUCGUGAUAUGCGAGGUAGCUCCAGAAUCCAAAAUCCAGGUAGGAGAGGUAGAUUUAGCAGUGGUGUGAGCACACAUUGCUGCCAAUUUUGCAGGUGGAAUUUUUCCAGCAAAGGCAUGAUUCAUGCGUUCAAAGCAGUCAAUUGCUUCAUGAUCAUGAGAGUGACAGAUUUGACAGGGAACUCGGCUACCAGAGUACUGUCGAUUGGAGCCUCCUGAAGAGCGACUUGGAGUGUAGGAGUUGCCUCGGAAAUUAUUAGUCCCACGAUAAUUGGUAAAACUGCGAUUGUUGCCACGAUUAUUGCCACGAGUGUGACCACGAUGGCUGCCUCGAUAAUUCUUAGAAGAAUUAUAGUUGGAGUAUGGAGCAACAAAUGCUUGAGGAAAGGCAUUAAAUUGAGGCGUUGGAAGAAGUGGAGCCUGAGAACGCUGAGACUGAGCAGCGUAGGCAUGAAAUGGUUCUGUAACAGAAGGAACAAUAGACUUCUUCUUUCGAUCCAUAAAGAGUUCUUUGUUGAUCAAUAAGCCAUGAAGUUCAUCAAGAGAGGUGGAGGAAAUUCGCAACAUUAUAGAGUCAAUGAAGGAUUCGUACUCAUCAGAGAGGCCAUUGAGCGUAACAGCAAUAAGAUCAGGAUCAGAAAUUGGCGCUCCAGCCGCCAUUAAAGCAUCUGAAAUUCCUUUGAUUUGUUGAAUGUAGGCAGAGAUUGAAAGAUCACCUUUCUGAACAGAGUGAAGGCGAGUGCGGAGUUGGUGAAUGUGCACAGCGGAGACACCACCAAAGCGUUGUUCAAGAUUGAUCCACAGUUCGCGAGAUGAAGAUACACCGACAGUAAAAGGGAUGAUUUCUUCAGAUAAAGUGGAAUUUAACCAAAUGAGGAUGUUUUGAUCCUUUUCAUACCAAGCUUCAAAGGCUGGAUUCGGAGCACCGGUGCUGUGGCCAGAACUAUCAAGAAGAAACGGCGGUGGACAUACUUCAGUACCGUCAAGAAUGCCAGUGAGCUUGUAACGGCGAAAGAUUGGAGCAAAGAGCGCCUUCCAGAUGAGAUAAUUGUCUCGUUUGAGCUUCGUGGGAACCAUACAACUAAUGUUUUGGAUUGUGAUUGAAGAAAUAGAUGAAAUUGGGAAAUUAGGGUUAGGGUUCAUCGAAGAGGAAUUUGGGGCAAGAAUGUCUGGAUUCGCUGGAGAAGACGUCGAAGAUGCCAUCGGAGAGACAGAGAAACAGAGAUGAAAGAUCGAAAAGGGGAAGAAUCGAUCAAGAGCUGAAGAAAACCACAGAGAUCACGAAGAGGUGGAGAGGAUCUUGAAGAUCGAUGAAAAUCGCGAAGAGGUGGAGAGGAUCGCGAAGAGGCGGUUAAGCAAAGGCUCUGAUACCAUAUGAGAGUUAUGAAAUAUUCUGUUUCAUUGAAUUUAUGAGGCUUUACAACUGUGUAUAUAUAUAUAUCUGCUAAUCAUAAUUAGCACCUAAUCAAGUAUAACUAAUUACACUAAGAUAACUAUUAGUUACACUAAGCAUAACAGAAACUGUUAUGAUGUCCUGGAAUAUGUGUCAAUAAGUGUUACACAUCCCUGAAUUUCCUUCUUGGACUUUUUUCCACAAGGUGGCAAGGAAAGGAGAAUCGGCAGUCUUCUUCUUCUCUUUUACUGUAUAAGUAGGUUCAGAAUAGUCGAUACCAAUUAACCGUGCCCGAACCGAGUUUGUAAGAAAAUUGUGCUUUUAAUGAAACCAUGGAAAUGUUGGGAUUGCAUUCGAAAAUCGAAGGGAAGAAUCGAUUCCUGUAUGAGCGCAAUUAGUGAUGAUGUUUCAAAACUUUGAUAUGAAAACCAAUGUACAAAUUACAAAUUUCCUCCAAUGAUGGAUGCAAAUCAAUCUUAGUUGAUGAGUCAAUUUUAUACUAUAUAUUACUCCCUAUUCUUGGUAUAUUUUGGUUAUUAUUUUGGUGAGAUUUUGAUGCUUUGUUAUGUGUUUUUAAUGUAGGAC
rnacentral:lncRNA from 1 species